UUUUUUUAUUUUUUUUUCGUUUUUUCUUAAUCUCGGGUCACUAUGGCUUAAUCUCGGGUCAAUAUGCUUAAUCUCAAGUCAAAUCGCACUAAGUGGUCAAACUUCCCGGAAGGUCACCCGUCCUCACACUGCUCCAACCCGAGCACACUUAACUUCGUAGUUCUAUCCAACCCCACCACCACCUCACUUAUGUCUAUCAUAUCAAUCCUAUUAAACCUUGUUGAUGUCUAGGACUUUGUUCAUGUUCAUGAGUGUGAUGAAAUUUUGAAAAAAUAUUUCAAACUUCCCGGUCAUAUUACGUAUCAUAUUUUGAAAAACAUUUCCAAAAAAAUUCGAAACCAAAUUUUCUUCUAUUACUAGUGGCGCACCUAGCAAAUGGUGCGCCACUAGUAAGUUUGAAUUAUUUUCCAUUUUCCCCCUCUAGAUCUUAAAAGCCCCGUAUCUUUCGUUCUGUUAGGUUUUGGGGGAUUCUGAAAAUCUUGAACAUAGUUCCCCCAGUUCAAUUCGGAUGUAACUUUUCGAGUAGAUGAUUUUUCAUAUAAAAAACUUUUUAAUCUGAGUUCGUAUGCAAAAGUUAUGCCCAUUUUACUAAAUUCCAAAGAGAUUUUGCAAAUAAAGUCGAAUUUCAUAUUUGUAAAUUUUCCCAACGACUAGACCACAUAUCAUGUGGGAAACUUAUUUUCUUUUAUUUUGUGACAUUUCCAUCAUUUUCUUUUAUUUUUUUAAACUGAAAAGGCGGUACACGGGGGUGCAUUUGGUCAAAGCUACCAAUGGCGCACCUGUUACAUGGUGCGCCAUUACUAGUUUUGCAAAAAAAAAUAAAAAAAUUGUUAGUAGUGGCGCACCGUGGUUGUGGUGCGCCAUUAAUAGUUUGAACCAGUCAUGACGCACUAUACCUUGGUGCGCCAUUACUAGUUUUGGAAAAAAGAGGUAAAAAAUCAUUAGUAGUUGCGCACAGAGUGUGUGGUGCGCCAUUACUAGUUAAAACUAGUGAUGGUGCACUAUGCCCUGGUGCGCCAUUACUAGUUUUGGAGAAAAAUUUGUUAGUAGUGGCGCACCGUGAGUGUGGUGCGCUAUUAAUAAUGAGGACACUAAUGGCGCACCUGUACCUGCUGCGCCACUGCUAUAUAGCAGCGGCGUACCACAUACAUGGUGCGUCAUUAAUGUCCAUAUUAGCUAUAGCCCUUUUCCUAGUAGUGGAAGGAAAUAUGCCCUAGAGGCAAUAGUAAAGUUGUUAUUUUAUAUUUCCUUAUAUCACGAUAAAUGUUUAUUAUUCAUGCUAGAAUUGUAUUAACCGGAAAAUUGAUACAAGUGUGGAUACAUAGACAAAACACUGUGUCCCUAGUAAGCCUCUACUAGACUAGCUUGUUAAUCAAAGAUGGUUAAGUUUCCUAACCAUAGACAUGUGUUGUCAUUUGAUGAACGGGAUCACAUCAUUAGGAGAAUAAUGUGAUGGACAAGACCCAUCCUUUAGCUUAGCAUAAUGAUCGUUAAGUUUUAUUGCUAUUGUUUUCUUCAUGAUUUAUACAUAUUCCUUUGACUAUGAGAUUAUGCAACUCCCGGAUACCGGAGGAAUACCUUGUGUAAUAUCAAACAUCACAACAUAACUGGGUGAUUAUAAAGAUGCUCUAUAGGUAUCUCCGAAGGUGUUUGUUGGGUUGGCAUAGAUCGAUAUUAGGAUUUGUUACUCCGAGUAUCGAAGAGGUAUCUCUGGGCCCUCUCGGUAAUGCACAUCAUAAUAAGCCUUGCAAGAAAUGUGACUAAUGAAUUAGUUGCGGGAUGAUGCAUUAGGGAACGAGUAAACAGACUUGCCGGUAACGAGAUUGAACUAGGUAUGAAGAUACCGACGAUCGAAUCUCGGGCAAGUAACAUACCGAUGACAAAGGGAAUGACGUAUGUUGUCAUUACGGUUUGACCGAUAAAGAUCUUUGAGGGAGUCCUGGAUUAGGGGGUAUCCGGACAGCCGGAUUAUAUCCUUUGGCCGGACUGUUGGACUAUGAAGAUACAAGAUUGAAGACUUCCUCCCGUGUCCGGAUGGGACUCUCCUUAGCGUGGAAGGCAAGCUUGGCAAUACGGAUAUGUAGAUCUCCUUCCUUGUAACCGACUCUGUGUAACCCUAGCCACCUCCGGUGUCUAUAUAAACCAGAGGGUUUUAGUCUGUAGGACAACAGACAAUCAUAUCAUAGGCUAGCUUCUAGGGUUUAGCCUCUCUGAUCUCGUGGUAGAUCAACUCUUGUACUGCUCAUAUUAUCAAGAACAAUCAAGCAGGACAUAGGGUUUUACCUCCAUCAAGAGGGCUCGAACCUGGGUAAAACAUCGUGUCCCCUGCCUCCUGUUACCAUCCGCAUUAGACGCACAGUUCGGGACCCCCUACACGAGCUCCGCCGGUUUUGACACCGACAUUGGUGCUUUCAUUGAGAGUUCCUCUGUGUCGUCAUCAUUAGGCUUGAUGGCUCCUUCGAUCAUCGAUAGCGAUGCAGUCCAGGGUGAGACUUUUCUCCUCGGAUAAAUCUUUGUAUUUGGCGGCUCCGCACUGCGGGCCAACUCGCUUGGCCAUCUAGAGCAGAUCGAGAGCUACACCCCUGGCUAUCAGGUUAGAUUUGGAAACUUGAACUACACAACCGACAUCCACGGAGACUUGAUCUUCGACGGAUUCGAGCCCUUGCCGAGUGCGCCGCACGGUCAUGAUGAGCAUGACUUAGCUCUACCAUCGGACAGUGUUCGGGAGAUCGCACCGGCAACCGCUCCGACCCUCAAAUCGAAGCCAAUUGCGCCAUCCAGUGACGGGUGGAUAAACCCCGCCGCGGAGGCCGCACUCUCAUCGGCGAUCGAGCCAAGUAUCGACCUUACCCUUCAUGAGAGCCGUGACGCCAAACUGUCGGAUUCUUCCCCGGCCACGGACUCCGAACCGCCUGCGCCCGUGCCUAUCGAAUCCGACUGGGCACCGAUCAUGGAGUUCACCUCCGCAGAUAUCUUUCAGCACUCGCCCUUCGGCGACAUACUGAACUCAUUAAGGUCUCUCUCCUUGUCAGGAGAGCCCUGGCCGAACUAUGUCCGGCAGAAUUGGGAUGCGGAUGACGAAGAAAUUCGCCGCCCACCCACCACCCACUUAGUAGCCACUGUCGACGAUUUGACCGACAUGCUCGACUUCGACUCCGAAGACAUCGACGGUAUGGACGACGAUGCAGGAGACGAACAGGAACCACUGCCCACAAGGCACUGGACGCCCACUUCAUCAUAUGAUGUAUACAUGGUGGACACACCCAAAGAAAAUGACGAUGAAGAACGGAAGGACGCAGCGAAGGGUUGUUCCCUCGAGAAGCAGUCAAAGUAGCGGCGUAAGCGCCGCUCCAAAUCCUGCCUUGGUAGAAACAGCGAUCAUAUAGACCCAGCGACAGAGCAAGGUGAGCCAGCACACGACAAACAUGGUAUUGAACCAUCGUCCGACCACGGCAACACGGAGAAUCAAACCGAACAACCCGACUCCGUCGAAGAUAACAGUCCGGAUGACAUCACACCAGACAGGCACCCGGAGCAACAGAAUACCCAUCAAAGGCUUGUUGCCACUGCGAGGAGUCUGAAAAAGCAUAAGCAAAGGCUCAGGGCUGCACAAGACACACUCAGAAUCAGAUGGAGUGAAGUACUCAACAUUGUAGCAAAGUACGGCGGUAAUCGCCACACCAAGAGCUACCCGAAGCGAAAGCUGACCUGAAUUCGAUGAGGAGGCCUUAGAUCCCCCGCAAUCAAAAAACAAAACAGCCAUCCGGUCGGAUAGACGACCUCGUGGCCAGCAUAGAGCGGCAAACAAUGCCGCACACAAGCCAGUACGCGAUCCAUGUGAGGGCUCGCAUCAAAAGGACGGCACAACCAGAUCCAUCUACGGGCCACGCAAGCGCGCUCCAGCACGCAAUGCAACACAGCAAACAUCCGAACACCACGGUACACCCAAAUACAGGGGUGCCGCACACCCCCUAUGUUUCACCGAUGAGGUGCUGGAACAUGAAUUUCCAUAGGGAUUCAAACCUGUAAACAUAGAGGCAUACGACGGAAUGACAGACCCUGGGGUCUGGAUUGAGGACUACACCCUCCAUAUCCACAUGGCUCAAGGAGACGAUCUCCAUGCCAUCAAGUACUUACCCCUCAAGCUCAAAGGGCCAGCUCGGCACUGGCUUAAAAGCCUCCCCGAAAACUCCAUUGGAAGCUGGGAAGAGCUUGAAGACACCUUUCGGGCAAAUUUUCAAGGGACCUAUCUCCGACCACCGGAUGCAGACGAUUUAAGUCAUAUAACUCAACAGCCCGGAGAGUCAGCCUGAAAGCUUUAGAAUAGGUUUCUCACUAAAAAGAACCAAAUAGUCGACUGUCCGGACGCCGAAGCCUUAGCAGCUUUCAAGAACAGCGUUUGAGGCGAAUGGCUUGCCAGACACCUCGGCCAAGAAAAGCCGAGAAUAAUGGCGGCAUUAACAAGCCUCAUGACCCGCUUUUGCGCGGGCGAGGACAGCUAGUUAGCCUGAUGCAGCACCAGCGACCCAAGUACAUCCGAAGUCAGGGACGGAAACGGGAAACCACGACGCAACAAAAACAAGCGCCGGAAUAAAGAAGACAACCCGAAUAGCACGGCGGUAAAAGUAAGAUUCAGAAGCUCUCGGCCAGGUCAGCAAAUGCUGCCCUCCAAAGGCAACAGAGACAAACUAUCCAGCCUAAACAAGAUUCUGGAUAAAAUAUGUCAGAUCCACAGCACCCCCGAUAAACCUGCAAAUCAUACCCAUAGAGAAUGUUGGGUCUUCAAGCAGUCCGGCAAGCUCAACGCCGAACAUAAGGGGCAGGAUACACCAAGCGAAGACAAGGACGAGCCUCGCAAGCAAAGCACUGGGGAACAGAAGAAAUUCCCACCAGAAGUCAAAACAGUAAAUGUGUUACACGUGACAAAGGGGAGAAACAAAGCGGCACUCCUAGAGACACAUGCCCCAGGGCCUAUCACCGCGGAGUUCUGCCACUGGUCGUCCCAACCGAUCACCUUUGACCAUCGGGAUUACUCGGCAAGUAUCCGGCGUACAGGAUGGGCUGCCUUGGUGUUAGACCCGAUAAUUGACGAAUACCACUUCACACGAGUCCUGAUGGACGGCGGCAAUAGUUUAAACCUGAUAUAUCAGGACACGGUCCGCAAAAUGGGAAUAGACCCAACAAAAAUUAUCCAUAGCAAUACUACCUUUAAAGGAGUAACGCCAGGCCCAGAAGCCCAUUGCACGGGCUCCCUGCUACUAGAGGUUAUAUUCGGCUUUCCCGAUAACUUCCGCAGCGAAAAUUUAACCUUCCACAUCGCACCGUUCCAAAGUGGCUAUCAAGCACUACUCGGACACGAAGCUUUCGCUCGCUUUAACGCAAUACCGCAUUACGCUUCUCUCAUGCUUUAGAUGCCCGGUCCAUGUGGCAUCAUUACAGUAAAUGGAAAUAUUGAGCGCUCCUUGCGCGCGGAAGACCGUGCGGCUGCCUUGGCAGCCGCACAUUAAACGGCCUCACCAACUAAAGCAUCUGAUAGGUCGUUAAGACCAUGGACGUGGUUGGACGAGUCCGGUGCAGCUAUAUGUAAUUGAUACAGGUUUGAUGGCUAUACCCCUAUUACAAUACAAGGGGCUCAACGCGUGCAAACAAGUGGCAAUUAGGCUCAACUUUACUCAUUUUGAACUGUACAUGGUUUAUUUAGUAUAACCUACCUUUUGCACGACAACUUUUCAACUAAGUUCCUCUCUUUUUCAGAUGACCAUCAUGCUACACCCGUCCAGAAUACGGCACAGGGACCCAUUCCAAGGAUUCUUUUUAGAUUAAGACCCUGCGUAAACCUUUUUUACUGUCUCUUGUUGAUACACAUCCCUCGGAUUCUCAGUACAAUUGAGAAGGAUGCUGACGUAUUGGCAUGUGGCCACGUCAGAAUAUUGCACAUACCUGGACACCAGGGGCUUAUUACAAAGGGCACUGUUUCGACCCGGUUUACAUCAUAAAGACCGAAUACCCUAGGGAGUGUUCGGUGUCGUGAGUUUGGCCUUAUAUGCAUCAGCUCCGAAUCAUAUCUUUGGUCAAAUGUUGGGUUUGCCCGGCUCCUGUGUUUUGCUGCCUUACGUUCCGCUCUAUCGGCUAAGGCGACACCAGGAGAACUAUUGUGAUUGUGCCCCGGUUCAUCCGGACGAGCAUCUCAGUAGAGAAAGCCGAAAACUGACUGUCAUGAUAUAGCGUGAGACUGGUCAACCACUCGAUGACCUAGCGGAAUCUUCGGGAUUCCUCCGCCUUAACGAAGUGUCGUUUCCCAGCCAGGCAUGUACGCGCCCCCAAUCCAGAUGAGCGCGGAGCCACCAGGGGCUAUAUUAGCCCCACUGUCAACCUCCUCUGGCUAAGUGAAAGUGUUAAAGCAUUAUAGUCCGAUUGCCUAGUUCACUGCGCUAUCACCUCCUUAAUGGACCAAGACAUUGGAUCAAGUGUGAACAUGCGUCUUCUGUGAACACCCCCGCAUUAUAUGCCUGGGGGCUGAAGCCGACGACUGCCAUCUUUCAGGUUAUAUACAUAUAUACAUAAACGGCCGCACAGGAGGCAUCAUAGCACUUUCGGGUAAAAGAAUAAAUACAGCCUUGAUAAAUUCAAUAAAACAUUGUUCUUAAAAUGGGAAUACAUGUCACUUAAACAUAAUAUUCUUCGAGCAUUGAGCAUCUAUCAAACGAACGCCUUCAAGAACUUCUUCAAAGUAGUGCUUGGCAGCCACUCGGCCUAUGGCCGAACCCUGUGCCGCAACAGUGGUGGCAUCCAUCUCCGCCCAGUAUGUUUUGACAUGGGCAAGGGCCAUCCGCGAGCCCUCUAUGCACGCCGACCUCUUUACAGCAUCGAUGUGUGGCACAACACCAAGGAAUUGUUGCACUAAGCUAAAGUAGCUAUUCGGCCUUGGCCCUCCUGGCCACAGAUGAUCCACAACGGACCUCAUGGCAAGUCCGGAUAAUCUAUGGAGCUCGGCCCAACCGGUCAAUCGCUCAUUCAGCAACAGCGGACGGACUGGAGCGUGAAACUGUGACCAGAACAGCUUCUCCAUUCAGGACCUUUCUGAUCCUUGAAGUACUCGGCCGCAUCAGCAGCACUUGCAGCCAAAUCCAUGUACUCGUCCGCAGAACUCCAUAGCCGGUCUAGAGGAGCAUAUUUUGGAUCUCUGAACUUAGCCCGCAACAAGAAGGGCUUCCCAUAAACGAUAUACGCAGCUUGAUUCAGCUCCUCCUUCGUCGCUCUAAUUUUGGAGCGGGCUUCCUUGGCAGCCACCCAGGCCUUCUCCAGGUCCGUUGCCUUCACACGGUUUUCUUCUUCAAGAAGCCGGUAACGGUCAGCGGCAUAUUUUAACUCCAUGGCCAUCUUGGCAAUUUUUUAUUUACUCUCGCAAUGUGCGACCUGUUCGGCCCUUAAACCCUCGGCCGCCUUUAAAGUGGCCGCAUUGCUGCUUCUUGCGUGCUCCUUGGCUCGGGCAAGCUCCGCCCGAAGGGUCUCCAUGGUGGCAGCUCCAUCUGUAGUCACAACAUAUUAAAGAUACUGGCAUCAUGCUGCUCUUACUAUGUGACGAUCACCAGAAAAAUCACCGACCCUGUGCCUCGUCAAGCCGCUUGUUGACAGGCACGAUGUCGGCAUCUGCCGCAUCCAGCUGCCGCUUUAGUUCGGCAAACCCAUCAGUCCGGCUAGCCACCAGAGCUUCCACCACCUGCACAUAAAGGCAGUCUGGUUAUUACCUGGGACUAUGAUCCUCUGUUUGCCGCCGUUUUCGACGACAACCAGAGUCUCAGGGGCUACUAUCUACAUAGGGCACAUCUAAAAAUGCGCGGUACUGUCAAAAAUGUACAUCAUUUCACGUACCUCAAAACCCGUCAGUAGACUCAUAAAGGCUUCAUGCAACCCGCUUUGGGAGGAUGAAAUCCUUUCAAUCACCGUACCCAUCAAUGUGCGGUGCUCUUCUGAGAUAGCCGCUUGCUCCAGUAGAUCCCUCAGUACAUCCGACCGCACACCAGAUGGUGCCGGACUCUUUUGAUUGCUCUCUUCGAGAGCCGGAUGCUGAGGACUUCGGGUGGCCAUAGGAUUACCUUCUGGCCUUGCUGGAUCUAGAGAAACUCUCUGCGACGACACCUCGGGGUCGCCCACUUCGUGAGGCGGUGUGGCAAGGGGAGGCAUUUCGCUCUCCAUCAUCUCUGGAAGAAGAUCCCCCGAAGACGAGCUUUGCUGAGAAGGGCUAAGAUCCGAACUGCAAGAUAAAUGCUUCGAUUAUUUUCCUCAGAAGUAAAGCAAGAUUAGGAAUGGCAAUUUUAUCCACGGAUCUGGAUAUCCAUGGAUACCCGACCCGGUUGGGCAAGGGUAUCGAGCACAUUUUCGCCCAUGGGUCCAUGGAUAUGGAUACCCACGAAUAGCCGGGUUGGGCAUGGUUAUAGUUUGUGCUCCAUGGAUAUCCAAUGGAUACCCAUAUGACAUGUGGGGCCAUAUGCCAGUGAUAGUAGAAAGAGUGAAUCAAUGGGAAGUGGCAGGAAAUAUGCAACUUGUUCCAUGAGCUAUAUGCUGGAGAAUCAACCUCUGGUAUGUCACACUUCAGGACUCAUCGUAUUACUUGUUGCCUACUUAUGCAUGUAGCUUAUGUUGUCAUUUGUGAGUGAAUGAUGAUGAGUUAAUUUGCUCUUUGGGAAGGCUUCAUGCUGACUUUUCUAUGUCCAUGGAGCUCCAUGUGUAUGUGGGUAUCCAGUGGGUUUGGACAUGGCCACAAGUUUUGCCCAUGGAUAAUUUGAUGGAUGGGCAGAGGGUAGGAAGAUGGGUCAUGGGUUGGAUAUGGACCAGCUCCACCCGCCCCAAACCCGACCCAUUGCCAUCCCUAAGCAAGAUAUUUUCGUUAUUAAGUACCCUUUUACUUACAGCUCGGUGGAGGGCUAGUCCCCUUGAGGGCAUAGUACGGCCAGGGUAUCUCCCAGGGCAGGACCCUCCGGUGGAGAUUUCUUCCCCCGUUUGGAGACCAUUCUCUUCGGGUCCUCAGAUGCGGUUCUCUUCCUUCCCUGGGGAGAGGAAGUUUCAGUUCCUCCUCCCCGGCUAAUCUCCUUCGUGGAGGCGUAGCCUCCUUGUUCCCCCCUUUAUCCUCUCCUGAGGGCGCUUGAUAAGGCGCGAUCUCCAGCAUCUUGGUUAGCACGGGAUUUGGUGAGGUCUCAAGGAGGGGGGCCGGACACCUGAUCAACUUUGCCUUUGCUAUCCAAUCCUGGACAAAGAGCGGCUUUUUUUAUGGCAACAUUGCUAUAAAUAAAACGGACAGUGUGUUCAGAUGCGGGGCUACUUACUUGGGUAUCCGGGUGAUUGCAGCUCAGACCUGCAUCCUCGGUGAUGUCCGGACACAUUAUUUGUGGUCCGAAGAACAAUUUGUACAUCUCUUCAUGCGUCAUGCCAAGGAAAUGUUGGAUAGCUCGCGGUCCUUCCGGGUUGAAUUCCCACAUGCGAAGGGGCCGGCGUUUGCAAGGCUGGACUUGACGAACUAGCAUAACUUGCACUACCAUAACCAGACUGAUAUCUCUCUCGAAGAGAUCUCGGAUAUGGCUUUGCAGUAUUGGCACGUCCUUGGCUGGACCCCAGCUCAGCCCCCUGCUGAUCCAUGACAUCAGUUAUGGUGGGGGGCCUGAGCGAAAGGCGGGGGCAGCUACCCACUUGGCACUUCGGGGAGCUGUGAUGUAGAACCACUCCCGCUGCCACAAUCUGGACACCUCUGGGAAGUAACCCUCAGGCCAUGGAGCGUCAGCAAUUUUGCUUAUUGAAGCGCCUCCGCACGCUGCGUGCUGCCCCUCGAUCAUCUUCGGCUUCACAUUGAAGGUCUUGAGCCAUAGGCCGAAGUGAGGGGUAAUGCGGAGGAAGACCUCACAUAUGACAAUAAAUGUCGAGAUGUGAAGAAGGGAAUCCGGGGCCAGAUCGUGAAAAUCUAGCCGGUAAUAGAACAUAAGACCCCUAACAAAGGGAUCCAGAGCGAGGCCUAGUCCUCGGAGGAAGUGGGAGACGAACAUGAUGCUCUCAUUGGGUUCGGGAGUAGGGACAACCUGCCCUCGGGCAGGCAGCCAAUGCGAAAUUUCGGCGGUCAGAUAUCUGGCCUCUCUCAACUUCUUGAUGUCCUCCUCUGUGAUGGAGGAAGGCAUCCACCGACCUUGAAGGUUGGAUCCAGACAUAGUUGAAGGUCCGAAGUGCCUAAACCUGAGCUUUGGGUGUUGGAACUCGAUGCAAGAGGCGGAUUCGAUUAAGACCGAGAGGAAAAGGCCUUGUCCCCUUUAUAAAGAGGGUGAAUAUCAAGCGUCCUCCUCGUGGCCGUUUGGGACUUGCCUAAGAUUUAGGAGUCCUACCAAUGGGCACGAUUGAGUUACCCACGUCCGUAUUAAUGAGAAUCCUUUAAUAAGGGGACACGAUCUCUGCUUCGACAAGACGUGCCAAGGAAACCACCUCGCGAAACACGCUGAGAUAGGUUAUGAAAAACGAUUUGAAUAAAGACCUGGUUGUGGUGUGCUGUCACACUACGGGGUACAUCAGCAGAUUAGAUUUGUGGAAAUAUUAUUCCCUCUACGGUGGUAUGUGGAACUUAUUUUACAGAGCCGGACACGAUCCUCGUGUUCAAAAUCUUCUAUGAAGUAUUCGGAGGAGGAACCCGCCUUGCAAUGCCGAAGACAAUCUGCGCGCGGACUCAUCGUCAUUGAAGCCUGGUUUAGGGGCUACUAAGGGAGUCCUGGAUUAGGGGGUAUCCGGACAGCCGGAUUAUAUCCUUUGGUCGGACUGUUGGACUAUGAAGAUACAAGAUUGAAGACUUUGUCCCGUGUCCGGAUGGGACUCUCCUUGGCGUGGAAGGCAAGAUUGGCAAUACGGAUAUGUAGAUCUCCUUCCUUGUAACUGACUCUGUGUAAACCUAGCCCCCUCCGGUGUCUAUAUAAACUGGAGGGUUUUAGUCCGUAGGACAACAGACAAUCAUACCAUAGGCUAGCUUCUAGGGUUUAGCCUCUCUGAUCUCGUGGUAGAUCAACUCUUGUACUACUCAUAUUAUCAAGAACAAUCAAGCAGGACGUAGGGUUUUACCUCCAUCAAGAGGGCCCGAACCUGGGUAAAACAUCGUGUCCCCUGCCUCAUGUUACCAUCCGCCUUAGAUGCAUAGUUCGGGACCCCCUACCCGAGAUCCGCCGGUUUUGACACCGACAAUCUUCGUAGAAUAUGUAGGAACCAAUAUGAGCAUUCAGGUUCCGUUGUUGGUUAUUGACCGGAGAGGUGUCUCGGUCAUGUCUACAUAGUUCUCGAACCCGUAGGGUCCGCACGCUUAACAUUUGAUGACAAUUUGUAUUAUAUGAGUUAUGUGAUUUUGUAACCGAAUGUUGUUCGGAGUCCCAUAUGAGAUCCCGGAUAUGACGAGGAGUCUCGAAAUGGUUGAGAGGUAAAGAUUCAUAUAUAGGAUGAUAGUAUUCAGACACCAGAAGUGUUGUGAGGGUAUCGGGUACGUAUCGGAUCACCGGAUAGGGUUCCGGGCAACCCCCGGCAAGCUAUAUGGGCCUAAUGGGCCAAGAGGGGAAACACACCAGCCACUAAGGGGCUAGUGCUCCCCCCCCCCCCAAUAUGGGCUGGCCAAAUUGGAAAAGGAAAGGGAAAGAAGGAAAGGAAAAAGGGAAUAGGAUUCUCCCUUCCCCCUCUUCCCUUCCUACUCCGAAUAGGAAUAGGAAAUGGGGGAGACCUAAUUGGGAGGACCCCAAGUAGGAUUCCUCCUACUUGGGGCGCCCCCUUGGCUGCCUGUGACGCCCCAGAUUUGAUCUUACACUAAUCAUACACGCAAACGUGUACAAUCAAGAUCAGGGACUCACGGGAAGAUAUCACAACACAACUCUACAAAUAAAAUAAGUCAUACAAGCAUCAUAUUACAAGCCAGGGGCCUCGAGGGCUCUAAUACAAGAGCUCGAUCAUAGACGAGUCAGUGGAAGCAACAAUAUCUGGGUACAAACAUAAGUAAACAAGUUUGCCUUAAGAAGGCUAGCACAAACCGGGAUACAGAUCGAAAGAGGCGCAGGCCUCCUGCCUGGGAUCCUCCUAAACUACUCCUGGUCAUUGUCAGCGGGCUGCACAUAGUUGUAGGCACCUCCCGAGUAGUAGUAGUCGUCGUCGUUGGUGGCGUCUGGCUCCUGGGCUCCAGCGUCUGGUCGCAGCAAUCGAGUAUAGGAAGGGGGAAAAGGGGGAGAAAAGCAACCGUGAGUACUCAUCCAAAGUACUCGCAAGCAAGGAGCUACACUACAUAUGUAUGCAUUGGUAUCAAAUGGAUUAAGGGUAUCAUAUGUGGACUGAACUGCAGAAUGCCGGAAUAAGAGGGGGAUAACUAGUCCUUUCGAAGACUACGCUUCUGGUAACCUCCAUCUUGCAGCAGGAGAAGAGAGUAGAUGGUAAGUUCACCAAGUAGCAUCAUGUAGCUUAAACCUAACCGAUGAUCCUCCCCUCGUCGCCCUGUGAGAGAGCGAUCACCGGUUGUAUCUGGCACUUGGAAGGGUGUGUUUUGUUAAGUAUCCGGUUCUAGUUGUCAUAAGGUCAAGGUACAACUCCAAGUCGUCCUGUUACCGAAGAUCACGGCUAUUCGAAUAGUUUAACUUCCCUGCAGGGGUGCACCACAUAACCUAACACGCUCGAUCCCAUUUGGCUGGACACACUUUUCUGGGUCAUGCCCGGCCUCGGAAGAUCAACACAUCGCAGCCCUACCUAGGCACAACAGAGAGGUCAGCACGCCGGUCUAAACCCUAUGGCGCAGGGGUCUGGGCCCAUCGCCCAUUGCACACCUGCACACUGCGUACGCGGCCGGUGAGCAGACCUAGCAACCUCCAUUACAAAGGAAGUUGCGUUACGCGGUCCAACCCGGCGCGCGCCGCUCAGUCGCUAACGUCACGAAGGCUUCGGCUGAUACCACGACGUCGAGUGCCCAUAACUGUCCCCACGUAGAUGGUUAGUGCGUAUAGGCCAGUAGCCAGACUCAGAUCAAAUACCAAGAUCUCGUUAAGCGUGUUAUUCUGAAAUAACCACGGACGCCGACCAGGGCCAGGCCCACCUCUCUCCUAGGUGGUCUCAACCUGCCCUGUCGCUCCGCCACAAAGUAACAGUCGGGGGCCUGCGGGAACUCAGGCCCACCUCUAUCGGGAUGGAGCCACCUGCCCCUUCAGCCCCCAACAUCAGAAUCACUCGCGGGUACUCCUACGAGUCGACCCGACUUUAAUCACCACAAGUAUCAUAUAUUAUGUAUAAGUAUAUACCCGUGACCACCUCCCAAGUGAUCACGGCCCGAUAGUAUAGCAUGGCAGACAGACAAGAAUGUAGGGCCACUGAUGGUAAACUAGCAUCCUAUACUAAGCAUUAGGAUUGCAGGUAAAGGUAACAACAGUAGUAGCAAGGACAGGCUAUGCAUUAGGAUAGGAUUAACUGGAAGCAGUAACAUGCUACACUACUCUAAUGCAAGCAGUAUAGAGAGUAGAGUAGGCGAUAUCUGGUGAUCAAGGGGGGGGCUUGCCUGGUUGCUCUGGCAAGAGAGGGGUCGUCAACACCGUAGUCGUACUGGGUAGCAGCGGCGUCGGUCUCGAUGUCUAGCGAGAGAAGAGGGGGAAGAAACAAUAAAUAUAAUGCAAACAAAUGCAUGAUGAUGCAUGACAUGACAAAGCGUGAUGCUAGGUGUGCCCUAACGCGGUACGAGGUGGUACCGGUGAAGGGGGAAAUCAUCCGGGAAAGUAUUCCCGGUGUUUCGCGUUUUCGGACAGAUGAAUCGGAGGGGGAAAGUUGCAUGUUUGCUAUGCUAGGGAUGCGUGGCGGACGAAGGGGCUGCGUAUACAAAUUCGUCUCGUCGUUCUGAGCAACUUUCAUGUACAAAGUUUUCCCAUCCGAGCUACGGUUUAUUUUAUAUGAUUUUUCAAAGAUUUAAUCCAUUUUCCCAAAUUAUUUGUAUUUCGAAAUUAAUAGACAAAAUGCUAUGGGUACCCAGCCCUGUGUACGCAGAAUGUACACAAAGGCUGACAUGUGGGCCAGUGGACCCAGUUGACCAGUCAAACUUUAACUGGUCAACAGGAGGGUGGGGCCUCCUUGUCAUUGACUGAUUAAACUAGUGAGGUAGUUAAUUAGUUAACUAAGCAAUAUUAAUUAAGUUAAUUAAUUAUUAAAUUAAUUAAUUGAUCAUUAAUUAUAUUUAGUUAUUUUGAAAUUCUUUUUUUUGUUCUAACAGGGGGCGGGCCCCACUAGUCAUAAUCACAAGGGGGCUUAGCACUUAAUCUAAUCUGGGGGUUAUCCCCACUAAUCCAAAACAGGGGGAACGGGCCACUGGUCAAAGGCCCCAGCCGGCCAUGCCUGGGCUAGCGUGCACGGCGGCUCGCAGGGGAGGCGUCAGCGGCCAACGCAAGCACGCCGGGAAGGGGGAGCAGGGCACGGCCCCUGCAGCGGCGGCCCCGGUGGCAUGGCACGACGAGAGGGCGGCAGCGCAGCGCGGCGGUAGCAGCAGCAGCUCGGCAGUGGGAGGGUUGCGCGGGCGGCGAGCGGUCUGGGAGGCGGCAGGCAAGCUGGGCGCUGGCGGCGGGCAGCGCGCAGAGAGACGCAGAGGCGGGGCGAUGCGGGAGUGGGUCACGCACGGGGCGCGGGGGCAGGUCCUGCAGCGAGUGGAGGAAGGGCGCGAGGCGCGGCCGUCGUGGGCGACGCGGGGAGGCGGCGCACGGCAAGGACGACUUGGUCGCGAGGAGCACGGCGCAGAGGGCGCGCUGGGCGCGGUGAGCGCGUGCUCACCGCGGGCGCGUGCGUGGGUGGUCUAGCGUGCGGUGACCGCGAGCGAAGCGUGAGGCAGAGAAAGGGAGAGGCCCCGGGCCUCACCAGCGUUGAUGGGGAGAGGGGGCGCCGAGGCUUGCUGGCGGCCGGCGGGGAAGAGGACGAAGACGCGAGGUCCGAUGAGGAGGAGGUCGAGGUUGCGUCCGACGCAGGGCGGGGCUUGGCGACGCCGGGAAGACGGUGGGGCAGCUCUGACGAGGUGGCGUCGGGGGGGAGGACGGAGGCGCGGUGGGGCGAUGACCGGUGACGGAGCCCAGCGGCGGUGGUCGGCGACAAGCGACGGGGCGUCGGUGAGGGGCACAGGAGCGAGGCGCUCGAUCCGAUCUGGAUCAGGAGGGCGGGUGAGAGAGAGAUCGGGGGUGGGGGUUUUGCGCGGUCGUGGGCUAGGGUUUCGGUGGGUGUGGGGGUUAAGGGAGUGAGGGGGGCCGGCAGGACUAGUGGGCUAGCCGGCUCGGCUGUUUGGCCCAUAUGGUCAGGGGAGUUUUCUUCUUUUCAUUGUUUUAUUUAUGUUUGUCUUUUUCUUUUCUAUUUAUUUUUACUUUACUGUUUUAUUUUGUUCCUCCUUUAUUUUAGUUUUGUAAAGUACAAAAAUGACCCCUAAAUUAGUCCUACCACUAAACCCACUACCAUAAAAAGUUUAGUCCCUAAAUAGAAUAAUUUAUCAUAUUAUUAAUUAUAAAAGGUAUUUUAUUAUUUGUUUUGCUAUUGUUUUAUUCAUUUUAGAGUAUUUAAAGAUUUUAUAAAAGUGGGGUUUCUUCACCACAAUUACCUUUGCAUUAUUUGGCACAACUCGAACAUUUUUGUUUUAAAGUUUGAAAACUUUUGUUGUUUGUCUUUAUUUUAAAUUUGAAUUUGAAUCGUUUUUGAACUAACACGAGAUUAGCACCAGUAAUCGAGGUGACGUGGCAUCAUUAGCAGAGGGUUACUGUAGUGUAACUAUUCGGGCGUCACAAUUCUCCUCCACUACAAGAAAUCUCGUCCCGAGAUUUAAGAGGUAGAGUAAGGAGAAAGGUCUGGUUACGAUAUUUCAACUGAUCUUCUCGGUCUUGGCUGCUCUUCUUGAAGAAGUUAAUCCCUUUCGUUGAUGUCUUCAAUUCUUUAUUCCAAUGCAUCAUGAUGAAGUUGUCGUCCUUUCUUCGAGGAGCUCCAUCGUAGUUACGAAUAGGUAAGGGGCAUCUCUACAACGAUAGGAUGUUAUAAGGUAAAAUCAUCUGGGGGUAUCCCAAGAAUGAACACAUGAGUAUCUCUCGAGUUGAACAAAUGAGACACGUCGAGAGAAAAGUAAGAAAGUACCAUAAGAAGUUUCAAGCGGAUAGACAAUCGCCUGAUGCCUAAACAACAUGCGAAAGGGGUCCAGGGCAACGAGAUUGAGUAUUGCGUCUGAUACCAGAAAAGAGCACUAGGAAGGUGGCUUGCGAAUUACCUACGAAACCAAGAGCAAGUGAUAACUUUGUUAACAAGGUGUACAGGAGAGUUAGGUUUUGAUCUUGUGGAACUGUGGGUUAUGGGCCCACCAUGUGGUUAAAGUAGGAAGGUCGGUGACAUCUUGCACAAUCAUGUAAGCAAGGCAUGUCAGAGGAUAGUCUGUCGGUCAUGUCGGCAACACAUCCGUACCAAGGGCGAGGGACGAAGAGAACCAUCUUCCUGCUCGUUGAACGAGGCGGACCAGUAGGCAAGAUUCUCGUCCAUCGGUGGUUACCGAAAUGCCAUCAACAAAAGUAACAGGGUCUUUCUAACAGAGUGGUACAACUGCUUAUACAAUAUAGAUCAUAAGAAGGUUUAAACAAACCAAUGGAAGGGAAAAGUGAUUAUCAGGUUUAAACAGAACAAUGGAAAGGAAAAUGUGUUUAAACACAUAUUUCAAGGGUAUAUUCUUCCCAAGGACAAGCAGAACAUAUUAUCCAUGACAGGAUAUAAUGUAGAAAACUCUUUAGGUAAGGGGAGAAAAAUUUCAUGACAUUAACCAUACAACGGUGUUUGGACAAUAGAGCAAGAAGCAUUUAGCACAGGGCUUCAAAUGUUCUUGUUGAAAAUCAGAGUACCACAGACAUGCUUCGAGAUAGCAUUGCAUGGUCUUCAAUCAAAGGUCAGACUCUGGAUACACAAGGGGAUUCAUCAUUAAGCCAAGGAAAGGAUGAGGAGGUGGUUGAUGGACUCGGCGAUAAUACAACGAGGUAUCCAAAAAGAUGGAUUCCCAUAGUUAUGUGAACAAGGAGAUAACAUUUGUCGGAUCAAAUGAUAUAAUGAUGUAUGCUCAAGGAAAAACAUACACAUUUUAAACAUUAGUGGAAAAGGGUGCCCAAAGUAGGGCCUUAGGGAGCAUGAUCAAAUGUUAGAAUGGUGAUUCAGUGAUCAAUAGUUCUAAGAAUGAACGUUCGACCAUUAACUUCAAAGGAAUAGGGUUGCUAGAAGGGCAGAAUCCAAACAGCACCGUUCACCUGUUGGUAUCCCGGUUAGAUCCAACACGGGGACCAAGAAGGAAAGGUGAUGGUGAUAAGUAUUACCUGUAUCAAGAAUUCUCAAGAGGUGGUAAAAUUCCCACGACAUUCUUGACAUAAAAGGUGAUAAUAUUCCAAGGUAAAGAAGGACAAAUGUUGGAUAGCAAGGAACUCAAGGCAUAACACAAAACACGAACAAGUUUGUGUUGGAGGGAAUCAACAAAGUGGCCGAUGAUAACACAAAUCAUCAAGAGCAAGGAUGUCAUUUCUCAUCAUGAAUUCGAUUGAUAUCUGGAAGAGCUCAUAAGGUUGAUGAUGAUCACGACACAUUUGUCGAGAGAUUUCAUGAAGAUGUAAUCGAUCGGCGAUGACAUCAAGUCAAAGGAAUGAUGAAGCGAAAGGUUAUUGGAACCAUGGGUAUGACACAAACUCGAAAUCAAGUUUGCUAUUCAGGGAGAAAUGAUAUGACGAGGAAGACCGACGUAAGAUUAGCUCACCGUCAAAAUUUGUGCUCCGGGAAAAAGGACCAGGUAGCACAGUUAAAAUUUUAGCACAAUAAUGAUAUAGCCAGUCAGGCUAGGAAUGACUUGAAGGAUUAUUAAACUCGUAAGCAACGAAAAUUACUUAGAGUUAUUGAAUCAGAGUGUGGACUCGGCUCAGUUAUCGGUGUCCUUGAGUGUUUAAUAACUCAGAGCCCAUGAAAAAUUGUAAUCAGUGAGAAUGUAGUACUUGAUGAAGAACUCAUAGGAAGUUAUGCAGUUCCAUGAUAAUCUCGAGAUACCAGGGGGUAAUACUCGAAGACAGAUCAAAGUAGAGGUUGGACUGGGGUAUUGCUUUGCAGAAGACAAGUACUUCAACUUGUCCGAGAAAUGGGAUCCAAGAAGAACAUAUGGUCAGAACCACGAUUGCAAAGGAUCAAUUCACUGAUACCAAAGGAUAUUAUAUCAAGGAAUUAGUUAUUAUUACAAGAAGCUACCAUGAUAGGAUCUACAUUGUGUCCAUGGGCAUGAACACAAAGUUCAAGGUCGACUCCCACUUCUUCAAUGCAUAAGCUUUCAAUCACUGCUCUAGAUAAAAAUGAUUUUAGUGUCAAAACCUACCUGGUGAAUUACUAGAGGAGUAUGACCCGUGAAAACCUUCGGGUUCACACAGAUUAAGAAAAGCAUAGGUUCAACCCGUCAGGGUAUCGUGGAAACAUAUACCACAAGCUUCAACUGUAAUUACCACUAGCUCGAAAAUAGAGCAUGGUUGAGAAAAUAGGGGAUACAAUUUACCAAAAGCAUUAUGUAUCCGAGGAAAGGCUCACAAGGUUAUUGAAUAAGGAGGACAUCGUCGAAUAAUAAUCCAAUAAAGGACCUGACGGUCCAUAGCGGAGCUGAUGUGAGCAUCGGCACACAAUCAGUUGAAGAAAGGAUGCAAGGGCAUCAGAUUAUAGAACACCUGAAUGAUUCGAUGCUUAGAUAUCAAAGGAAUUAUGAUUUCCAAAUAGAAGGAUCAGAAGCAUACGCUCUGAUCAAGGGCGGAUAAGUUCAGUAGACCUAAGGGUACAAUUGACGGCAAAUAGAUUGGUCGAGAACAAGCUCAUGUUCAAAAAUGACAUGUGAGCCAGAAAGAUAAUUUAAAAGGAUCAACUAAUGAUUGCGUGCAUUCGCACUCAUGUUGAAUCAAUAGGAUCAAAAUGACGGUGUCUAAGGAUACUAACGAAUAUUGCCAGACAUAUGGAAAGCAUCCAUAAUGCAAGCAGACAAGUAUUGCAGAGCAAUAAGCUACUAAGGAUUUUUGGAGGAUCGAAUAGUAUUUCGAAGACCAUUGUGAAACACAUGAACAACUGGGGGAUGAGCGGAUACUCGAUAAGUGUGAGAAUUAUCCAUAGGAGUAUUUGUUGGAAAUAUGCCCUAGAGGCAAUAAUAAAUUGAUUAUUAUUAUAUUUCCUUGUUCAUGAUAAUCGUUUAUUAUCCAUGCUAGAAUUGUAUUGAUAGGAAACUCAGAUACAUGUGUGGAUACAUAGACAACACCAUGUCCCUAGUAAGCCUCUAGUUGACUAGCUCGUUAAUCAAUAGAUGGUUACGGUUUCCUGACCAUGGACAUUGGAUGUCGUUGAUAACGGGAUCACAUCAUUAGGAGAAUGAUGUGAUGGACAAGACCCAAUCCUAAGCCUAGCACAAGAUCAUGUAGUUCGUAUGCUAAAGCUUUUCUAAUGUCAAGUAUCAUUUCCUUAGACCAUGAGAUUGUGCAACUCCCGGAUACCGUAGGAGUGCUUUGGGUGUGCCAAACGUCACAACGUAACUGGGUGGCUAUAAAGGUACACUACGGGUAUCUCUGAAAGUGUCUGUUGGGUUGGCUCGAAUCGAGAUUGGGAUUUUGUCACUCCGUGUAAACGGAGAGGUAUCUCUGGGCCCACUCGGUAGGACAUCAUCAUAAUGUGCACAAUGUGACCAAGGGGUUGAUCACGGGAUGAUGUGUUAUGGAACGAGUAAAGAGACUUGCCGGUAACGAGAUUGAACAAGGUAUCGGUAUACCGACGAUCGAAUCUCGGGCAAGUACCAUACCGAUAGACAAAGGGAAUUGUAUACGGGAUCGAUUGAGUCCUUGACAUCGUGGUUCAUCCGAUGAGAUCAUCGUGGAACAUGUGGGAGCCAACAUGGGUAUCCAGAUCCCGCUGUUGGUUAUUGACCGGAGAACAUCUCGGUCAUGUCUGCAUGUCUCCCGAACCCGUAGGGUCUACACACUUAAGGUUCGAUGACGCUAGGGUUAUAAAGGAAGCUUGUAUGUGGUUACCGAAUGUUGUUCGGAGUCCCGGAUGAGAUCCCGGACGUCACGAGGAGUUCCGGAAUGGUCCGGAGGUAAAGAUUUAUAUAUAGGAAGUCCUGUUUCGGCCAUCGGGACAAGUUUCGGGGUCAUCGGUAUUGUACCGGGACCACCGGAAGGGUCCCGGGGGGCCACAUGGGCUGUAGGGGGUGCGCCUUGGCCUACAUGGGCCAAGGGCACCAGCCCCUAGAGGCCCAUGCGCCAAGAUAUAGGAAAAAGGGGAGAGUCCUAAAGGGGGAAGGCACCUCCGAGGUGCCUUGGGGAGGAUGGACUCCUCCCCCCUCCUUAGCCGCACCCCUUCCUUGGAGGAGGGGGCAAGGCUGCGCCUCCCCCCUCUCCCCUGCCCCUAUAUAUAGUGGAGGGGAGGGAGGGCAUCCAUACCUGAGCCCUUGGCGCCUCCCUCCCUCCCGUGACACCUCCUCCUCUCCCGUAGGUGCUUGGCGAAGCCCUGCAGGAUUGCCACGCUCCUCCAUCACCACCACGCCGUUGUGCUGCUGCUGGAUGGAGUCUUCCUCAACCUCUCCCUCUCUCCUUGCUGGAUCAAGGCGUGGGAGACAUCGUCGAGCUGUACGUGUGUUGAACGCGGAGGUGCCGUCCGUUCGGCACUAGGAUCAUCGGUGAUCUGAAUCACGACGAGUACGACUCCAUCAACCCCGUUCACUUGAACGCUUCCGCUUAGCGAUCUACAAGGGUAUGUAGAUGCACUCUCAUUUCUACUCGUUGCUGGUCUCUCCAUAGAUAGAUCUUGGUGAUUCGUAGGAAAUUUUUUGAAUUUCUGCUACGUUCCCCAACAGUGGUAUCAGAGCUAGGUCUAUUGCGUAGAUUCUUUGCACGAGUAGAACACAAAGUAGUUGUGGGCGUCGAUAUUGUUCAAUAUGCUUGCCGUUACUAGUCUUAUCUUGAUUCGGCGGCAUCGUGGGAUGAAGCGGCCCGGACCAACCUUACACGUACGCUUACGUGAGACCGGUUCCACCGACAAACAUGCACUAGUUGCAUAAGGUGGCUGGCGGGUGUCUGUCUCUCCCACUUUAGUCGGAUCGGAUUCGAUGAAAAGGGUCCUUGUGAAGGGUAAAUAGCAAUUGGCAUAUCACGUUGUGGUUCAUGCGUAGGUAAGAAACGUUCUUGCUAGAAACCCAUAGCAGCCACGUAAAACAUGCAAACAACAAUUAGAGGACGUCUAACUUGUUUUUGCAGGGUAUGCUAUGUGAUGUGAUAUGGCCAAAAAGGAUGUGAUGAAUGAUAUAUGUGAUGUAUGAGAUUGAUCAUGUUCUUGUAAUAGGAAUCACGACUUGCAUGUCGAUGAGUAUGACAACCGGCAGGAGCCAUAGGAGUUGUCUUUAUUUAUUUGUGACCUGCGUGUCAACUUAAAACGUCAUGUAAUUACUUUACUUUAUUGCUAACCGUUAGCCAUAGUAGUAGAAGUAAUAGUUGGCGAGGCAACUUCAUGAAGACACGAUGAUGGAGAUCAUGACGAUGGAGAUCAUGGUGUCAUGCCGGUGACGAUGAUGAUCAUGGAGCCCCGAAGAUGGAGAUCAAAAGGAGCAAAGUGAUGAUGGCCAUAUCAUGUCACUAUUUGAUUGCAUGUGAUGUUUAUCAUGUUUAUACAUCUUAUUUGCUUAGAACGACGGUAGUAAAUAAGAUGAUCCCUUACAACAAUUUCAAGAAGUGUUCUCCCCUAACUGUGCACCGUUGCGACAGUUCGCUGUUUCAAAACAUCACGUGAUGAUCGGGUGUUUUAUUCAGACGUUCAAAUACAACGGGUGUUGACGAGCCUAGCAUGUACAGACAUGGCCUCGGAACACAUGCAAAACACUUAGGGUUAACUUGACGAGCCUAGCAUGUAUAGACAUGGCCUCGGAACACGGAGACCGAAAGGUCGAGCAUGAGUCGUAUAGAAGAUACGAUCAACAUGAAGAUGUUCACCGAUGAUGACUAGUCCGUCUCACGUGAUGAUCGGACACGGCCUAGUUUGACUCGGAUCAUGUAAUCACUUAGAUGACUAGAGGGAUGUCUAUCUGAGUGGGAGUUCAUAAGAUGAACUUAAUUAUCCUGAACAUAGUCAAAAGGUUUUUGCAAAUUAUGUCGUAGCUCACGCUAUAGUUCUACUGUUUAGAUAUGUUCCUAGAGAAAAAUUAGUUGAAAGUUGAUAGUAGCAAUUAUGCGGACUAGGUCCGUAAACUGAGGAUUGUCCUCAUUGCUUCAUAGAAAGCUUAUGUCCUUAAUGCACCGCUCAGUGUGCUGAACCCCAAACGUCGUUUGUACACGUUUUGAUAACUACGUGAUAGUUCAGUGAAACGGUUUAGAGUUGAGGCACCAAAGACGUUUUUCAAAAUGUCGCGGAACAUACGAGAUGUUUCGAGGGCUGAAAUUGGGAUUUCAGGCUCGUGCCCAUGUCAAGAGGUAUAAGACCUCCGAUGACUUUCUUAACCUGCAAACUAAGGAGAAAAGCUCAAUUGUUGAGCUUGUGCUCAGAUUGUCUGAGUACAACAAUCAUUUGAAAUCGAGUGGGAGUUGAUCUUCCAAAUGAGAUAGUGAUGUUUCUCCAAAGUCAUUGCCACCAAGCUGCUAGAGCUUCGUGAUGAACUAUAACAUAUCAGGGAUAGAUAUGAUGAUCCUUGAAACAUUCAUGAUGUUUGACACCACGAAAGUAGAAUUCAAGAAGGAGCAUCAAUUGUUGAUGGUUGGUGAAACCACUAGUUUCAAGAAGGGCAAGGGAACAAAGGGAUACUUCAUGAAACGGCAAUUCAGCUGCUGCUCAAGUGAAGAAACCCAAGGUUGGACCCAAACCCGAGACUAAGUGCUUCUGUAAUAAGGGGAACAACCACUGGAGCAGCAUUACCCUAGAUACUUGGUAGAUGAGAAGGCUGGCAAGGUCGAUAGAAGUAUAUUGGAUAUACAUUAUGUUAAUGUGUACUUUACUAGUACUCCUAGUAGCACCAGGGUAUUGGAUACCGGUUCGGUUGCUAAGUGUUAGUAAGUCGAAAUAAAAGCUACGGAAUAAACGGAGACUAGCUAAAGGUGAGCUGACGAUAUGUGUUGGAAGUUUUUCCAAGCUUGAUAUGAUCAAGCAUCGCACGCUCCCUCUACCAAAGAGAUUGGUGUUAAACCUAAAUAAUUGUUAUUUGGUGUUUGCGUUGAGCAUAGACAUGAUUGGAUUACGUCUAUCGCAAUACGGUUAUUCAUUUAAGGAGAAUAAUGGUUACUCUGUUUAUUUGAAUAAUACCUUCAAUGGUCUUACACCUAAAAUGAAUGGUUUAUUAAAUCUCGAUCGUAGUGAUACACAUGUUCAUGCCAAAAGAUAGUAAUGAUAGUACCACCUACUUGUGGCACUGCCACGUAAGUCAUAUCGGUAUAAAACGCAUGAAGAAGCUCCAUAUUGAUGGAUCUUUGGGCUCACUCGUUUUUGAAAAGUUUGAGACAUGCGAACCAUGUCUAUUGGUGUAUAUGCAUGAAGAAACUCCAUGCAAAUGGACCGUUUUGACUCACUUGAUUUUGAAUCACUUGGGACAUGCAAAUCAGACCACAUGGGCAAGAUGACUGAAAAGCCUCGUUUUCAGUAAGAUGGAACAAGAUAGCAACUUGUUAGAAGUAACACAUUUUGAUGUGUGCAGUCCAAUGAGUGCUGAGGCAUGUAGUGGAUAUUGUUAUGUUCUUACUUCACAGAUAAUUUGAGUGGAUGUUGAGUACAUUUGCUUGAUGAAUCAUGAGUCUGAAUUAUUGAAAGGUUCAAGUAAUUUCAGGGUGAAGUUGAAAGAUCGUCGUGACAAGAGGAUAAAAUAUCUAUGAUAUGAUCAUAGAGAUGAAUAUCUGAAUUACGAGUUUUGGCACACAAUUAAGACAUUGUGGAAAUUGUUUCACAAUUAAUAGCGCCUGGAACACCAUAGUGUGAUGGUGUGUCCAAACGUCAUAGUUGCACCCUAUUGGAUAUGGUACAUACCAUGAUGUCUCUUAUCGAGUUACCACUAUCGUUCAUGGGUUAGGCAUUAGAGACAACCACAUUCACUUUAAAUAGGGCACCACAUAAUUUCGUUGAGACGACACCAUAUGAACUAUGGUUUGGAGAAACCUAAGUUGCCGUUUCUUGAAAGUUUGGGGCUGCGACGCUUAUGUGAAAAGGUUUCAGGUUGAUAAGCUCGAACCCAAAGCAGAUAAAAUGCAUCUUCAUAGGACACCCAAAAACAGUUGGGUAUACCUCCUAAUUAAGAUCCGAAAGCAAUAGGGAUUGUUUCUUGAAUCGGGUCCUUUUUCGAGGAAAGGUUUCUCUCGAAAAGUUGAGUGGGAGGAUGGUGGAGACUUGAUGAGGUUAUUGAACCGUCACUUCAACAAGUGUGUAGCAGGGCACAGGAAGUUGUUCCUGUGGCACCUACACCAAUUGAAGUGGAAGCUUGUGAUAGUGAUCGUGAAGUUUCGGAUCAAGUCGCUACCGAACCUCGUAGGGUGACAAGGAUACGUACUACUUCAGAGUGGUACAGUAAUCCUGUCUUGGAAGUCAUGUUGCUAGACAACAAUGAACCUACGAGCUAUGGAGAAGCGAUGGUGGGCCCGGAUUCCGAUAAAUGGCUCAAGGCCAUAAAACCCGAGAGAGGAUCCAUGUAUGAAAACAAAGUGUAGACUUUGGAAGAACUACUUGAUGGUCGUAAGGCUGUUAGGUACAUAUGGAUUUUGAAAGGAAGACAGACAAUGAUGGUAAGUGUCACCAUUGAGAAAGCUCGACUUGUCGUUAAGAUGUUUUUCGACAAGUUCAAGGAGUUGACUACGAUGAGACUUUCUCACUCGUAGCGAUGCUAAGAGUCUGUUGGAAUUAUAUUAGCAAUUACUGCAUUAUUUAUGAAAUCUUGCAGAUAGGAUGUCAAAACAUUGUUUCCUCGACGAUUCUUGAGGAAAGGUUGUAUGUGAUACAACCGGAAGGUUUUUGUCUAUCCUGAAAUAUGCUAAUAAGUAUGCAAAGCUCCAGCAAUCCUUCUGAGGACUGGAGUGAGCAUCUCGGAGUUGGAAUGUAUGCUUUGAUGAUGAUCAAAGAUUUUGGGUGUAUACAAAGUUUAUGAGUAACUUGUAUUUCCAAAGAAGUGAGUGGGAGCACUAUAGAAUUUCUGAUGAGUAUAUGUUGUUGACAUAUUAAUGAUCAGAAAUGACGUAGAAUUUCUGGAAAGCAUAUAGGGUUAUUUGGAAAGUGUUUUCAAUGGAAAGCCUGGAUUAAGCUAUUUGAACAUUGAGCAUCAAGAUCUAUAAGGAUAGAUCAAAAUGCUUAAUAAUACUUUCAAAUGAGCACAUACCUUGACAUGAUCUUGAAGGUGUUCAAGAUGGACCAGUCAAAGAAGGAGUUCUUGCCUGAGUUGUAAGGUACGAAGUUAAGACUUAAAGCUCGACCACGGCAGAAUAGAGAGAAAGGACGAAGGUCGUCCCCUAUGCUUUAGACGUAGGCUCUACAGUAUGCUAUGCUGUGUACCGCACCUGAAGUGUGCCUUGCCAUGAGUCAGUCAAGGGGUACAAGAGUGAUCCAAGAAUAGAUCACAGGACAGCGGUCAAAGUUAUCCUUAGUAACUAGUGGACUAAGGAAUUUUCUCGAUUAUGGAGGUGGUAAAGGGGUUCGUCGUAAAGGGUUACGUCGAUGCAAGCUUAACACCUAUCCGGAUAGCUCUGAGUAGAGAUACUGGAUACGUAUAAUGGAGCAACAAUUUAGAAUAGCUCCAAGUAGAACAGUUGUUUGGAAUAGCUCCAAAUAGAGCGUGGUAGCUGCAUCUAGGAGAUGACAUAGAGAUUUGUAAAGCACACAUGAAUCUGAAAGGUUCAGACCCGUUGACUAAAACCUCUCUCACAAGCAACAUGAUCAAACAUAAAACUCAUUGAGUGUUAAUCACAUAGUGAUGUGAACUAGACUACUGACUCUAGUAAACUCUUGGGUGUUAGUCACAUGGCGAUGUGACCUGUGAGUGUUAAUCACAUAUCGAUGUGAACUAGAUUAUUGACUCUAGUGCAAGUGGGAGACUAUUGGAAAUAUGCCCUAGAGGCAAUAAUAAAUUGAUUAUUAUUAUAUUUCCUUGUUCAUGAUAAUCGUUUAUUAUCCAUGCUAGAAUUGUAUUGAUAGGAAACUCAGAUACAUGUGUGGAUACAUAGACAACACCAUGUCCCUAGUAAGCCUCUAGUUGACUAGCUCGUUAAUCAAUAGAUGGUAACGGUUUCCUGACCAUGGACAUUGGAUGUCGUUGAUAACGGGAUCACAUCAUUAGGAGAAUGAUGUGAUGGACAAGACCCAAUCCUAAGCCUAGCACAAGAUCAUGUAGUUCGUAUGCUAAAGCUUUUCUAAUGUCAAGUAUCAUUUCCUUAGACCAUGAGAUUGUGCAACUCCCGGAUACCGUAGGAGUGCUUUGGGUGUGCCAAACGUCACAACGUAACUGGGUGGCUAUAAAGGUACACUACGGGUAUCUCUGAAAGUGUCUGUUGGGUUGGCACGAAUCGAGAUUGGGAUUUUGUCACUCCGUGUAAACGGAGAGGUAUCUCUGGGCCCACUCGGUAGGACAUCAUCAUAAUGUGCACAAUGUGACCAAGGGGUUGAUCACGGGAUGAUGUGUUACGGAACGAGUAAAGAGACUUGCCGGUAACGAGAUUGAACAAGGUAUCGGUAUACCGAUGAUCGAAUCUCGGGCAAGUACCAUACCGCUAGACAAAGGGAAUUGUAUACGGGAUCGAUUGAGUCCUUGACAUCGUGGUUCAUCCGAUGAGAUCAUCGUGGAACAUGUGGGAGCCAACAUGGGUAUCCAGAUCCCGCUGUUGGUUAUUGACCGGAGAACGUCUCGGUCAUGUCUGCAUGUCUCCCGAACCCGUAGGGUCUACACACUUAAGGUUCGAUGACGCUAGGGUUAUAAAGGAAGUUUGUAUGUGGUUACCGAAUGUUGUUCGGAGUCCCGGAUGAGAUCCCGGACGUCACGAGGAGUUCCGGAAUGGUCCGGAGGUAAAGAUUUAUAUAUAGGAAGUCCUGUUUCGGCCAUCGGGACAAGUUUCGGGGUCAUCGGUAUUGUACCGGGACCACCGGAAGGGUCCCGGGGGCCCACCGGGUGGGGCCACCUGCCCCGGGGGGCCACAUGGGCUGUAGGGGGUGCGCCUCAGCCCGUCACGCCGUCUUCGCCUGCGGCUCGGCCGGUCACGCCGUCUUCACCUGCGGCUCAGGUCCUCACGUCGCCUUCAUCCGCGGAUCGGCCCGCGACACCGGCCGCGCCACGGCCCACUAUGCCGAGCUCACCAUCGGCCCGGUCUGUGAUGCCGGAGUCGCCAGCUGCUUCGUCUGCUCUGCCGGUUUCGCCAGUGGGCCGGCCUUCUUCGCCGACCGAGUCCGAGGCGACCGUGACUGACUCCUCGUCACCGGCUGACUCGUCAACGUCGCCGUCCUCCAGCCCGUUGCAGGCUGCUCCGUCGACCUCGAUGGUUCCUGUGUUCCGACCACAUACACGCAGUCGCAGUGGCAUUUUCAAACCUAAGGAACGUAAGGAUGGUACGGUUGCUUGGUUGGCUGCUUGUUUAGCUGCUGCUGUUGCGGAUCCUUCUUCUGAGCCUCGCUCAUAUCAGGCUGCCCUGCGCAUUCCACAUUGGCGAGAGGCUAUGGAGCAGGAGUUUCAUGCUCUUCUUCGUAACAAGACAUGGACUCUCGUUCCUCCACCACCACGGGUAAAUGUUAUUGACUCAAAAUGGGUAUUCAAAGUGAAGAAGCAUUCGGAUGGAUCUAAUUACAAAGCGCGACUUGUUGCUCGCGGUUUUCGGCAGCGUCAUGGUCUUGACUAUGAGGACACCUUCAGUCCUGUCGUCAAGCCUACCACUAUUUGGCUUCUUCUCUCCAUUGCUGUUUCUCGUGGUUGGUCACUUCGUCAACUUGAUGUGCAGAAUGCUUUUCUACAUGGAUUUUUGGAGGAAGAGGUUUAUAUGAAACAGCCGCCUGGUUUCUCUGAUCCUGAUCGUCCUGACUAUAUCUGUCGUCUUUCCAAAGCACUAUAUGGUUUGAAGCAAGCUCCUCGUGCCUGGCAUGCCCGCCUUGCCUCUGCCCUUCGUGCUCAUGGGUUUGUGCCGUCCACUGCUGACACUUCAUUAUUUCUUCUACAGAAGCCAGAAGUCACUAUGUAUCUUUUGGUAUAUGUCGAUGAUAUUAUCCUUGUCAGCUCUUCUCAGUAUGCUGCUGAUGCUCUUGUCUGCUCUCUUGGUGCUGAUUUUGCGGUCAAAGAUCUUGGGAAGCUUCACUACUUUCUUGGAGUUGAGGUCACUUCUCGUGCUACUGGUCUUGUCCUUACGCAGAAGAAGUACUCCUUGGAGUUGUUACAAAGAGCUGGCAUGCUGAAGUGCAAACCGACCACCACACCCAUGUCGUCUACCGACAAGAUAACAGCUGUUGAUGGUGAGCUUUUGUCUCCUGCGGAUGCCACAGAGUACAGGAGCAUUGUUAGUGGACUUCAGUACUUGACGAUCACGAGACCAGAUAUCUCUUAUGCUGUUAACAGGGUUUGUCAGUAUCUUCAGGCUCCCAGAGAUACUCAUUGGGCUGCUGUUAAACGCAUUCUUCGUUAUGUUCAGUUCACCCUGACAUUUGGUAUGCAUAUUCGGCCAACUUCCUCUCGGGUCCUUUCGGCCUUCUCUGAUGCAGAUUGGGCUGGUAGCCCAGAUGACAGGCGAUCCACGGGGGGUUAUGCGGUAUUCUUUGGCUCUAAUUUGAUCGCCUGGAGUGCUCGGAAACAGGCUACUGUGUCACGUAGCAGUACUGAAGCUGAGUACAAGGCUGUGGCUAAUGCUACUGCAGAGAUUAUUUGGGUGCAGUCUUUGCUUCAGGAGUUGGGUUUGUCUCAACCACAGCCUCCUAUUCUUUGGUGUGAUAACAUCGGUGCUACAUACCUUUCUGCAAAUCCAGUAUUUCAUGCCCGAACGAAACACAUUGAAGUUGACUAUCACUUUGUACGGGAACGUGUAUCACAGAAGCAACUCCAGAUCAAGUUUAUCUCAUCUAAGGAUCAACUUGCAGACAUCUUCACUAAGCCUUUACCGCUGCCACAGUUUGAGGCUUGUAGGCGCAAUCUUACCCUUCUCAGUUCUUUAGAAAGUGGCUAAGAUUGAGGGAGGGUGUUAGACUAUGUAUAGCUUCUGUACUUAUGUACAUAUAUUGUACAUAUUGUAACACAAUCAUUAUAUAUAAUGAGAUAAGCCACCCCUAGAGGGUUGUGCUGGUUCCCCAAACCUAUUGUUUUACACAGACUACAGGAUUGAUGGGGCGUCCUUAUCCUCCUCCUAGCAAGCGAGCAGGUCCAGUCAUGGAACUCAAGGAGGCUGGUAAAGGUGGCUAUUCACCAGACUCCAGUGAAGCUACUUCUAGCCAUUGUGUGGAUGUUUACUCUCCUCCUCGGCCUAUUGGCAACUACCAGAUGAGUGUGGAUACUAAUCCUGACCCCCCCCCCAGGGUCGAUAUAUCAAUAUCAGUCCAAGGUGAGAGUGAGACUAUCUCUGGUAUACAUGGCAAUAAUUUGGCUUUGUCAGAGGAUAUACGUGAUGAAGAUAUGGAACUAGAUCGGGCAUUGGUGCCAGCCCAUAAGGCACCACGGGCGCCAUGAAGUGCAUAGCAUGGAACUGCCGAGGCAAAGGCAAGGGCCUAGGCAGUGAGAAGAUGACCUACCUUGCCAACCUCAUGCGUUCUACUAGUGCUCAGGUCACCUUUGUUUCUGAAAUUAAAUCAUCCAAGACUAAUAGAGCUGAUCUUCUUAAUCGUUUUGACAUUGUAGAUAGCGUAGUUGUCCCUUCAAGAGGCAAGUCAGGAGGUCUUUGGCUGAUGUGGACGGACGAGGUCCAAGUUAAGGUUCAUUUUGCGGACUUCCAUGUGAUCCUUGCCUCUGUAGUUAAUCCAGUUUCUAGCGUUUCUUUUGCUCUUAUUUGUAUAUAUGGAGACCCGUAUCAUCGUCGCUCUAGUGACAUCUGGGAUCGUAUUGCCUCUUUUGUGUAUGAUAACCAAGGCAAUCCUAUUUUGUGUAUGGGAGAUCUUAAUGAUAUACUUUAUGAUGUCGAUAAAAGUUCUCCCUUUGUGAAUUACUCUCGCUUGCAUGCUUUUCGUUAUAUUGUGAAACAAUGUGGUCUGAUUGAUCUGGGAUAUAGUGGCCCUGCUUAUACUUGGACAAACAAAAGGUAUUCUUCCAACCCAACCAUGGAAAGACUUGAUAGAUGUCUAGUUAAUGCUGAAUGUGUUGGAAAUAUGCCCUAGAGGCAAUAAUAAAUUGAUUAUUAUAUUUCCUUGUUCAUGAUAAUCGUUUAUUAUCCAUGCUAGAAUUGUAUUGAUAGGAAACUCAGAUACAUGUGUGGAUACAUAGACAACACCAUGUCCCUAGUAAGCCUCUAGUUGACUAGCUCGUUAAUCAAUAGAUGGUUACGGUUUCCUGACCAUGGACAUUGGAUGUCGUUGAUAACGGGAUCACAUCAUUAGGAGAAUGAUGUGAUGGACAAGACCCAAUCCUAAGCCUAGCACAAGAUCAUGUAGUUCGUAUGCUAAAGCUUUUCUAAUGUCAAGUAUCAUUUCCUUAGACCAUGAGAUUGUGCAACUCCCGGAUACCGUAGGAGUGCUUUGGGUGUGCCAAACGUCACAACGUAACUGGGUGGCUAUAAAGGUACACUACGGGUAUCUCUGAAAGUGUCUGUUGGGUUGGCACGAAUCGAGAUUGGGAUUUUGUCACUACGUGUAAACGGAGAGGUAUCUCUGGGCCCACUCGGUAGGACAUCAUCAUAAUGUGCACAAUGUGACCAAGGGGUUGAUCACGGGAUGAUGUGUUACGGAACGAGUAAAGAGACUUGCCGGUAACGAGAUUGAACAAGGUAUCGGUAUACCGACGAUCGAAUCUCGGGCAAGUACCAUACCGCUAGACAAAGGGAAUUGUAUACGGGAUUGAUUGAGUCCUUGACAUCGUGGUUCAUCCGAUGAGAUCAUCGUGGAACAUGUGGGAGCCAACAUGGGUAUCCAGAUCCCGCUGUUGGUUAUUGACCGGAGAACAUCUCGGUCAUGACUACAUGUCUCCCGAACCCGUAGGGUCUACACACUUAAGGUUCGAUGACGCUAGGGUUAUAAAGGAAGUUUGUAUGUGGUUACCGAAUGUUGUUCGGAGUCCCGGAUGAGAUCCCGGACGUCACUAGGAGUUCCGGAAUGGUCCGGAGGUAAAGAUUUAUAUAUAGGAAGUCCUGUUUCGGCCAUCGGGACAAGUUUCGGGGUCAUCGGUAUUGUACCGGGACCACCGGAAGGGUCCCGGGGGCCCACCGGGUGGGGCCACCUGCCCCGGGGGCCACAUGGGCUGUAGGGGGUGCGCCUUGGCCUACAUGGGCCAAGGGCACCAGCCCCUAGAGGCCCAUGCGCCAAGAUAUAGGAAAAAGGGGAGAGUCCUAAAGGGGGAAGGCACCUCCGAGGUGCCUUGGGGAGGAUGGACUCCUCCCCCCCUCUUAGCCGGCUGCGCCUCCCCCCUCUCCCCUGCCCCUAUAUAUAGUGGAGGGGAGGGAGGGCAUCCAUACCUGAGCCCUUGGCGCCUCCCUCCCUCCCGUGACACCUCCUCCUCUCCCGUAGGUGCUUGGCGAAGCCCUGCAGGAUUGCCACGCUCCUCCAUCACCACCACGCCAUUGUGCUGCUGCUGGAUGGAGUCUUCCUCAACCUCUCCCUCUCUCCUUGCUGGAUCAAGGCGUGGGAGACAUCGUCGAGCUGUACGUGUGUUGAACGCGGAGGUGACGUCCGUUCGGCACUAGGAUCAUCGGUGAUCUGAAUCACGACGAGUACGACUCCAUCAACCCCGUUCACUUGAACGCUUCCGCUUAGCAAUCUACAAGGGUAUGUAGAUGCACUCUCCUUUCUACUCGUUGCUGGUCUCUCCAUAGAUAGAUCUUGGUGAUUCGUAGGAAAAUUUUUGAAUUUCUACUACGUUCCCCAAUAGUAUUCAGAUGACAAAGAACAACAAGGCAGUAAGCUCAAAUGAUUAUCGAAACAAUGACGAGUAUUUCAGGGUAUCUUGUAAUAACAAGACCAACUGGGGAUGAAUGUAAGAAUAACAACUGCAAGUAGUUAUCCAUAAGGGUUGACGGUGGAAGGGGAAUUGCAAACGCGAUGAACACAAGUUCUCGGGUCAACAGCGGAGAGUAUCUUCAGGGUCUUCAUGUGCAGCAGACGAUCAUCAGUAAUAAGGGACUCUCCGGGUGAAAAUGAUAACGAGAUCCUAAUGUUAGAUUUAGCAAAAUUCAUUUAACCCGAAUAGAAGAGAGAUCAGAGUCCCAGAGUAUAGACAAGGAGUAAAAAGAUCUUAAUACCACCCAAUGGCGACGUGGGCUCGUAAGCCACACGGCCAUGUUAGUAAAAGUUUUUCAAUGACUAGACUCGACUUCGGUCAAGGAGUUGGAAAGGGGAUUCCUACAGGCAGUCGGCUCUGAUACCAACUUGUGACGCCCCCGAUUUUACCGUACACUAAUCAUACACGCAAACGUGUACGGUCAAGAUCAGGGACUCACGGGAAGAUAUCACAACACAACUCUAUAAAUAAAAUAAGUCAUACAAGCAUCAUAUUACAAGCCAGGGGCCUCGAGGGCUUGAAUACAAGAGCUCGAUCAUAGACGAGUCAGCGGAAGCAACAAUAUCUGGGUACAGUCAUAAGUAAACAAGUUUGCCUUAAGAAGGCUAGCACAAACCGGGAUACAGAUCGAAAGAGGCGCAGGCCUCCUGCCUGGGAUCCUCCUAAACUAUUCCUGGUCAUCGUCAGCGGGCUGCACGUAGUAGUAGGCACCUCCCGAGUAGUAGUAGUCGUCGUCGUCGGUGGCGUCUGGCUCCUGGGCUCCAGCGUCUGGUCGCAGCAAUCGAGUAUAGGAAGGGGGAAAGGGGGAGAAAAGCAACCGUGAGUACUCAUCCAAAGUACUCGCAAGCAAGGAGCUACACUACAUAUGUAUGCAUUGGUAUCAAAUGGAUUAAGGGUAUCAUAUGUGGACUGAACUGCAGAAUGCUGGAAUAAGAGGGGGAUAGCUAGUCCUUUCGAAGACUACGCUUCUGGUAACCUCCAUCUUGCAGCAGUAGAAGAGAGUAGAUGGUAAGUUCACCAAGUAGCAUCGUGUAGCAUAAACCUAACCGAUGAUCCUCCCCUCGUCGCCCUGUGAGAGAGCGAUCACCGGUUGUAUCUGGCACUUGGAAGGGUGUGUUUUAUUAAGUAUCCGGUUCUAGUUGUCAUAAGGUCAAGGUACAACUCCAAGUCGUCCUGUUACCGAAGAUCACGGCUAUUCGAAUAGUUUAACUUCCCUGCAGGGGUGCACCACAUAACCCAACACGCUCGAUCCCAUUUGGCCGGACACACUUUUCUGGGUCAUGCCUGGCCUCGGAAGAUCAACACGUCGCAGCCCUACCUAGGCACAACAGAGAGGUCAGCACGCCAGUCUAAACCCUAUGGCGCAGGGGUCUGGGCCCAUCGCCCAUUGCACACCUGCACGUUGCGUAUGCGGCCGGUGAGCAGACCUAGCAACCUCCAUUACAAAGGAAGUUGCGUUACGCGGUCCAACCCGACGCGCGCCGCUCAAUCAUUGACGUCACGAAGGCUUCGGCUGAUACCACGACGUUGAGUGCCCAUAACUGUCCCCACGUAGAUGGUUAGUGCGUAUAGGCCAGUAGCCAGACUCAGAUCAAAUACCAAGAUCUCGUUAAGCGUGUUAUUCUGAAAUAACCACGGACGCCGACCAGGGCCAGGCCCACCUUUCUCCUAGGUGGUCUCAACCUGCCCUGUCGCUCCGCCACAAAGUAACAGUCAGGGGCCUGCGAGAACUCAGGCCCACCUCUACCGGGAUGGAGCCAGCGGCCCCUUCAGCCCCCAACAUCGGAAUCACUCGCGGGUACUCCUACGAGCCGACCCGACUUUAAUCACCACAAGUAUCAUAUAUUAUGUAUAAGUAUAUACCUGUGACCACCUCCCAAGUGAUCACGGCCCGAUAGUAUAGCAUGGCAGACAGACAAGAAUGUAGGGCCACUGAUGGUAAACUAGCAUCCUAUACUAAGCAUUAGGAUUGCAGGUAAAGGUAACAACAGUAGUAGCAAGGACAGGCUAUGCAUCAGGAUAGGAUUAACUAGAAGUAGUAACAUGCUACACUACUCUAAUGCAAGCAGUAUAGAGAGUAGAGUAGGCGAUAUCUGGUGAUCAAGGGGGGGCUUGCAUGGUUGCUCUGGCAAGAGAGAGGGGUCAUCAACAGCGUAGUCGUACUGGGUAGCAGCGGCGUCGGUCUCGAUGUCUAGCGAGAGAAGAGGGGGAAGAAAUAAUAAAUAUAAUGCAAACAAAUGCAUGACGAUGCAUGACAUGAUAAAGCGUGAUGCUAGGUGUGCCCUAACGCGGUACGAGGUGGUACCGGUGAAGGGGGAAAACAUCCGGGAAAGUAUUCCCGGUGUUUCGCGUUUUCGGACAGAUGAACCGAAGGGGGAAAGUUGCGUGUUUGCUACGCUAGGGAUGCGUGGCGGACGAACGGGUUGCGUAUCCGGAUUCGUCCCGUCGUUCUGAGCAACUUUCAUGUACAAAGUUUUUCCAUCCGAGCUACGGUUUAUUUUAUAUGAUUUUUCAAAGAUUUAAUCCAUUUUCCCAAAUUAUUUGUAUUUCAAAAUUAAUAGACAAAAUGCUAUGGGUACCCAGCCCUGUGUACGCAGAAUGUACACAAAGGCUGACAUGUGGGCCAGUGGACCCAGUUGACCAGUCAAACUUUGACUGGUCAACAGGAGGAUGGGGCCUCCUUGUCAUUGACUGAUUAAACUAGUGAGGUAGUUAAUUAGUUAACUAAGCAAUAUUAAUUAAGUUAAUUAAUUAUUAAAUUAAUUUAUUAAUCAUUAAUUAUAUUUAGUUAUUUUGAAAAAAAAUUAUUCUAACAGGGGGCGGGCCCCACUAGUCAUAAUCACAAGGGGGCUUAGCACUUAAUCUAAUUUGGGGGUUAUCCACACUAAUCCAAAACAGGGGGAAUGGGCCACUGGUCAAAGGCCCCAGCCGGCCAUGGCUGGGCUAGCGUGCACAGCGGCUCGCAGGGGAGGCGCCGGCGGCCAACGCAAGCACGCCAGGGAGGGGGAGCAGGGCACGGCUCCUGCAGUGGCGGCCCCGGCGGCAUGGCACGACGAGAGAGCGGCAGCGCAGCGCGACGGUAGCAGCAGCAGCUCGGCAGUGGGAGGGUUGCGCGGGCGACGAGCGGUCUGGGAGGUGGCGGGUAAGCUGGGCGCUGGCGGCGGGCAGCGCGCAAAGAGAGGCAGAGGCGGGGCGAUGCGGGAGUGGGUCACGCACGGGACGCGGGGGCAGGUCCUGCAGCGAGUGGGGGAAGGGCGCGGGGCGCGGCCGUCGUGGGCGACACGGGGAGGCGGCGCACGGCGAGGACGACUUGGUCGCGAGGAGCAUGGCGCAGAGGGCGCGGUGAGCGCGUGCUCACCGCGGGCGCGCGCGUGGGUGGUCUAGCGUGCGGUGACCGCGAGCGAGGCGUGAGGCAGAGAAAGGGAGAGGCCCCGGGCCUCCCCAGCGUUGAUGGGGAGAGGGGCACCAAGGCUUGCUGGCGGCCGGCGGGGAAGAGGACGAGGACGCGAGGUCCGACGAGGAGGAGGUCGAGGUUGCGUCCGACGCGGGGCGGGGCUUGGCGACGCCGGCGAAGACGGUGGGGCGGCUCCGGCGAGGUGGCGUCGCGGGGGAGGACGGAGGCGCGGUGGGGCGGCGACCGGUGAUGGAGCCCAACGGCGGUGGUCGGCGACAAGCGACGGGGCGUCGGCGAGGGGCACAGGGGCAAGGCGCUCGAUCCGAUCUGGAUCAGGAGGGCGGGUGAGAGAAAGAUCAGGGGUGGGGGUUUUGCGCGGUCGUGGGCUAGGGUUUCGGUGGGUGUGGGGGUUAAGGGAGUGAGGGGGGCCGGCAGGACUAGUGGGCUAGCCGGGUGGGCUGUUUGGCCCAUAUGGCCAGGGAAGUUUUCUUCUUUUCAUUGUUUUAUUUAUGUUUGUCUUUUUCUUUUCUAUUUAUUUGUACUUUACUGUUUUAUUUUGUUCCUCCUUUAUUUUAGUUUUGUAAAGUACAAAAAUGACCCCGAAAUUAGUCCUACCACUAAACCCACUACCAUAAAAAGUUUAGUCCCUAAAUAGAAUAAUUUAUCAUAUUAUUAAUUAUAAAAGGUAUUUUAUUAUUUGUUUUGCUACUGUUUUAUUCAUUUUAGAGUAUUUUAAAGAUUUUAUAAAAGUGGGGUUUCUUCACCACAAUUACCUUUGCAUUAUUUGGUACAACUCAAAUAUUUUUGUUUUAAAGUUUGAAAACUUUUGUUGUUUGUCUUUAUUUUAAAUUUGAAUUUGAAUCGUUUUUGAACUAACACGAGAUUAGCAACAGUAAUUGAGGUGACGUGACAUUAUAGUGUAACUAUCCGGGCGUCACACUGCCUCUCCUCCCCUCCAACCAAUAUAUAUGUGGAGGGGGCACCGCUAGAACACACAACAAACAUUGUUAGCCGUGUGUGGCGCCCCCUUCAUAGUUUACGCCUCCGUCAUAUUCACGUAGUGCUUAGGCGAAGCCCUGCACAGAUCACUUCAUCAUCAUCGUGACCAUGCCGUCGUGUUGACGGAACUCUCCCUCGACACUUUGCUGGGUCAAGAGUUCAAGGCAGGUCAUCGAGCUGAACGUGUGGAAAACUCGGAGGUGUCGUACGUUCUGUACUUGAUCGGUCGGAAUGAGAAGAAGUUCGACUACAUCAACCGCAUUGUCAAACGCUUUCGCUUUCGGUCUACGAGGGUACGUGGACACACUCUCCCCCUCUCGUUGUUAUGCAUCUCCUAGAUAGAUCUUACGUGAGCGUAGAAUUUUUUUUGAAAUUGCAUGUUACGUUCCCCAACAAUAAGCUCAUCUCAUUUUGCUGAAAUCUGGUUCAAAAAAGGUGAAACAGAUUAUAUAUCUGUACAGCUCAUGCAUAAGAAGCCAACUUGAUGUACAUGCGGUUGGGAGAGAAUAAAAGAACAACAUUGACUCCAAGUUAUAUAUAUGUAAGCACUGAAUGUACAAAUAAUUAAUAUGUUUAGGACAAAGUGCCCUCUAAAUUAGUAUCAGGACGCUUCAGUUUAAGAUGAAUUCAGUGGAAAUUCUACACAACUAUUGGCCCUUUUAACUAUACUCAUAACAAACUGACCGAUGCUUUGGCGAUGCACAUUGGACCUGGAGGUAGAGAGUGCAAAAUACAUAUGCCUGAAUCUGGAUAAACUGUAGUGCUGAAGGUAAUACUUUCAAUCACACUCAUAAAGAGGGGCUUCAGCACACAAAGGCAUAUGCUAAUGUUGUUGGACUCAAAGUCAGAUAUGCAUUAUUUUGAAUGUUUUGCUUUUUGUAGAACUGGAAAGAGCGUUGUUAUGCAAACUUUGUACCAGGUAGCGUAGUCUAAGGUAUGCACAUCCCGUCCAACUGGGAUAUGAGGUUUGAACACUCGUUGCUCAAUUUAUUUUACACUCAUGUUUCUUGCUCCCUUUUUAACAGAUGAUAACCAUGCGACAACUUUACACCCACACGGCAUGUUGGGUAGAUGUUUAUGUAGAGGGUACCUAUGUCAGGACCGCAUUUCGUUAAUAUUUUUAUGCACCGGACAGUAGCAAAGGCAUUUCUCAAGCUUGAGGACAGUUGUGGUACAAGACUAGGUGCAAUUUAAUCCAGUGAAUAGUUUUAUCAAUAGUUAUAGUAGUACAUUAAGAUGUUGGUAUUAUAUGCAUUGUUUGACUUUGCUAAACAUUUAUUUGAACAAAAUUUCUGCCAAACUUGUAAAUGUAUUUGAUUGAACGAAAAAACUAACGUCCACACGUGUGGUAUCUUGCACAUCGCUCGCACGCCUUCAUCACCACUCAUUUUGCCACGUAUGAACAGAUGAUAUCAGCAGGAAUCUUUUUGAUUUUCAGCUAAAAAUGUUUUAUCUCUUAAUUAAAAAUCAAAUUAAAAAUCCGUUUUCGCCAUUAAAUCGGUCUCGAUGAAAUCUUCAAAACUAGAUCUCAUGUUGAUAUGUUUCGAUGAUUUUUUUUUUUGCCCAAAAGUUACGGUGAUGUUUACACUAUAGUUGUCAUAGUGCUUAAACUAAAAUUGCCAUGUGACAAUUUUAGUUUGUAUAGCAUGGAAAUUUUAGUUUUUUGUUGAUGGCAAUUCCAGUAGUUUGACCAUCAAAAUUAUUAAUCAUGGCAAUUUUAAGUGCGUGUAUCAUGGCAACUUUAGUUUAUGGUUCAUGGCAAGUCUAGUUUCUUAAUUCCCGACUUAUAAUAUGUCAAAAUUUAUUUUUCAAUGUAGAAGGAAAUAGCUGAAACAUAUCAUGGCAACUUCAGUGUAAACAUCAUGUCAAUUCAUGUGCAAUAGACAUGACAACUUUUAAUCCAAAAAAAUUCAUCAAAAUAUAUUGAUAUGAGAUUUAGUUUCGAAGAUCUCGUCGCAGGGAAUUUAGUGGUGCAAACGGAUUUUCAAUCGGAUUAUUCAUUUAACAGAUGAAACAUUUUAAAAACUAAAAAUCUAAAAAGAUUCUCACAUGCAUGCAUGCGGUGACAUGGCGCAGUCUAUGUGUUAUAGGACGUGUGGACGGGUUUGACUCCCAUCACACGUAUGGACGUUAGCGUUGUCCUUGAUUGAAACAUUUGAAGUAGAAUCAAUGAUCGUUUAAUCAGACACUCUUUAAAAAUUGAGCAAUCUAGUAUAUAUUUUUCUCUCUUUAUUGCAACGCACGAGCAUGUUUAAGCAAAAUACAGAAGCUUGCGCAUGUCCCCCGUGGAAGGUUGGCUGGUGCAGAUGGCGGAAGUACCUGGGCUGAAGGGCCGUUCCGAAUUUGCCGACAGAUACACGAUCAGGCACGCAAAGACCGCGUUCCCACGCCGUGGAGGUGCGCAGCCUGGCACCAGACAAGACGCAUGCGGCCUUCGCACAGGCCAGGCGAGGCGACCAUCGUCGGCGGUGGCGUCACGCGGCCGGGCGCGGGAACGCUCCGUGCGGGACCAAACGAGCCAACAUCGUCGGCUACGGCGCUAUGAACCGUGUCAGCCCAGUCACGAUCGCCGUGUGUCCCGCGCCCCCGCCGCACACACAUCAGCGGGCCUUCUAGAACCAACCCCGAUAUUGCGGCCCACACUCGCCGACGGGGUGGGCCCACGCGUCAUAACCCAGGAUUCCUCGCGUCGGCGUGCGUAUAUAGAUCUCAGCCCAGGCCCCAGAGAGACACAGGACGUGUACCCCAAGAACCAGAGAGCCAACCAACCCAACCCCUGAGCAUCUCCGGCCACGCAUCGGCUAAGCACACGCAAACAGCCGCCCCCACGAUACUCACGAGGCUCCUUCCCCUCCGUGCGCUCUCUUGUUUCCCCCAUCCCAUGGCCACCCCAACCACGACGCCGGCGACGAUGCGGGCCGUGCAGUACGACGCCUGCGGCGGAGGCGCCGCCGGCCUCAAGGUAAAGAGUUACUAUUCGCGGUAGCGGGUCGAAGCUUUUUAGUAUGCUUUGUGUUCUGGUCGGCGCGCGAGAUUGGUACGUUGGUGCUAAGGAUGAUUUGGCCGAUUCACUGGCUAAUUGACUACAGUUAGUACAAAGUAUUAGAGUAUAUAUGUUAGUUUUUUCCAGGGAACCCCUUGGUGGUGGAGAUCGCAGUCAGUUCACCUGAAUCCUUUCUUUUGAAUUGUUUUUCAUGGCAAGACAAGUAGUCAAGAAGCUAGCUUGCUUACUCAAGUAAUAGAACUUUGCUCUAGCGGCUUUUGCUGUAUAAUUUGUGAUGGGCUAUUGAGUAUUUUAGUGGUUUCUAUGGUGGUGAUGUGUUACACUAGCUAGAUUGAUAUAUUCUCUCUUUCUCGUGUCUACUUGGCUUUAGGAGUGGUUAAGAUGUGUUACAGUGGAAUUAGUUAAAUAGGUCGCACAUACCUGCUGUGGGAUGCUCGGAAAAGCACUGCACAAUAGUUUUUGUAUUGUGACCCAUGAGUCAGCACCCCUGGAUCCCAAACAUAUUCCGAUGACGAGUCAGUCGGAAAUUUAUUAUUUGAAAGUUGCACAUGUCUGGUGUUAGAUGAUUGGAAAAGCACCGGAGAUGAUUGAGAUGACCAAGUCAGUUGUGUGAGCUCUGAUUGUGAGUCAAUCGGUCAACAGGGGAUUCUUUUCACAAGAACCCUAUUUUAGACUAGAGAUCUGCCUGACAGCUUGAUGCUUAUACUGCUUAAUUAAUUAACAAACAAAUCAAAUUAGUUUGUUUUAAAAAAAACAAAGGAGAACAGUAAACAUAAUAUUUCCUUCUUCCAUGAAGAUGAACCAGUAGAACCUAUAAACCUGUGAUUCUGACAUCUCUCUAAUGCAGCAUGUAGAAGUCCCCGUCCCUUCUGCAAAGAAGAAUGAGGUCCUGCUGAAACUGCAAGCUGCAACCAUCAACCCAGUUGACUGGAAGAUACAGAAAGGGGACUUGAGGCCUCUGCUGCCUCGUAGACUGCCUUUUAUCCCAGGUAACUAUCCUCAUUCAUAGUGCCACUGCAUGGAUGCUAGCCAUUUUCUAUCAACCAUGGAUUCUGUUUGGAGGCUUCCUAUGUAUAGAGAGCAAAAUAGCACCAAGCGUAGUUAUGAGAACGUUAUUUGAUCAUGUCAGUCUUGCUAUGUUAUUUUGUUCUUCACCUUUAACAACUAUCCAGGAUGUCUCUUAUCUGAUAAUCAGCUUAUGAUAAAGAUAGCAUAUAUGUGUGUGUGUUUGUGUGUGUUGGUCAAUUCAUGAAACAACUUGCUGAUAGAUGCAUCUCUUCUCUACUGCUCCUCUUCUUGCAGUGACUGAUGUUGCAGGAGUAGUUGUUGAUGUUGGUCCUGGAGUGAAAGGUCUCACAGCGGGUGAUCAAGUCGUCGCCAUGUUGAACUCUUUUGUGAGUGAACUUCACUCAUGACAACAUAUUUCCAUGUUUGUCAUCUUCAUACUUAGAAAGAAGAUGAUUUCAGAACAAAUCCGCUUCUUUAAAAGAAACAAUAUUGCUGUAAGCUCGUUAAUGUGACAAUGUCUUUGCUGUUACAGAACGGAGGUGGACUGGCAGAGUAUGCUGUAGCAUCCGCAAACCUGACCGUCAAAAGGCCAGCUGAGGUUUCUGCAGCUGAGGGUGCUGGGCUUCCCAUUGCUGCAGGCACUGCGCUCCAGGCACUAAGGUCCAUUGGUGCCAAGUUUGACGGCACCGGCAAGCCAUUAAACGUGUUGGUCACCGCUGCCUCUGGCGGCGUAGGCCUGUACGCGGUGCAGCUUGCAAAGCUAGCGAACCUUCAUGUUACCGCCACCUGCGGCGCACGCAACAUGGAUCUUGUGAAGAGCUUGGGCGCAGACGAGGUGAUGGACUACAGGACCCCAGAGGGGGCGAGCCUGCAGAGUCCCUCCGGCAGGAAGUACGACGGCGUGGUUCACUGCACCGUCGGUGUCAGCUGGUCGUCUUUCCAGCCAUUGCUCAGUGAUGCCGGGCGAGUGAUCGAUAUCACCCCCAACUUCUCGGCCAUCCUCACAUCUGCGCUGCACAGGAUGACAUUUUCCAAGAAGCGCCUGGUGCCCCUGCUCCUGUCGCCCAACAAGGCGGACCUGGAGUUAUUGGUUGGGUUGCUCAAGGAAGGCAAGCUGAAGACGGUGGUCGACUCGAAGUUCCCGUUGAGCGAGGCAGACAAGGCGUGGCAGAGCAGUAUCGAUGGCCAUGCCACUGGUAAGAUUGUCGUUGAGAUGGAGAGCUGAUCGUCGUCAAUGCUUCCUAGUAUUAAGGACUUGCAUACAGACGGUGGACGUGAAUACUUAGAUGUAAUCAUACAGACUAGUCACUUGUGCGUUUGUUUAUUGGGUGAUGGUUCGUUUAUUCAGUUUAUAUUAUAUUAUAUCUUACAGUAUAUUAUUAAAAGGGUAUUGAGAACUAUGAGUUGCAAAAAACUGUAUGGCUAUCGGUAAACAAUAGCAUUGUGCUGUCAAAAAUACAGUUCGCUCUUUGCUGAUGCUUUGUGCAACCACCACAAAGUGCUGCAGUGGUCAUCUGUUGGCCAGAAUUCAGAAUCACCUUCAGUUUUUCUCGAUCCAAACAAAGAACCAUUAACCUCUGCAGAAGAACAAAUCACAUACUGAGAGCCCAAAGCAGAACAGUAGGGGCGUAGGGCGUCUCUUGAAUAUAGCAGACCAAAUUAGGAAGUUCAAUUCUAACGCACAGGGACUGUGAUGCCUUUUAGUCAUUCCCAUAAAAAGAGGUUUGGUGUACUAAUUUUGAGCAACUCUAAACAAUUACCCAACCAGUUAAUAAAAACUGAAGUUGACUUGCACAGCAAAUCAAGCUCGUGAGGAUACGGAGUAAACUACUGUACUCCGUCUUGUGCGAAUCAGGUGACCUAGUUUAUAAAUAAUCAAAAAGGCUAAAAAUAUGACAUCAGAUUUUAGAUUGUGGCAAAUCAAACUUUUUUAUCAAGUUAUGUCGUGGGAUGACAAUUUUUUAAAGCAAGCAUUGCGUGCCAUGCUUGCUUUAAAAAAUUGCCAUCCACACAACAACAUAAUUUGCCAUGCUAAAAAAUACUGAUGUUCGAAUCUUAACAUAAUAUGUAAAGAAAAUCCAACAACGCAUCAGCUCAAAAGAAUGCCAAAACUUACUAGGACUGCAUCUGAAUAGAUUGUAAUAUUCUACAAUUAGUAACCAAUAUCACCAUUGCUUUCCUUGCCACAAAACAAGGAGAGCAUCAAUUUAUGACCUGAAUACGCUGACAACGACCGCACAUGAACCCAGCUCACGACACACCAUUUUUGUGAAUCUUAGUACGUUCAACGACAAUGAAAUAGCAAACUUCUACCAACGCAUAGCUACCAAACUCACUUUGCAGCUGCCCGGGCACCACCACGCCCACCGGUGCCAGAGUGAUCAACCCGCUGGUAGCCAACAUCACCUCCACGACCUGAGCCGCCUCUACCACCGCCUCUGCCUCCAAAAUCAGAUCGAUAGUUGUUGUACUCGCCCCUUCCAUAGCCUCUCCCUCCAGGGUAACUACCACGGCCUCUCAUGCCUUCACCUCGGAAAUUACCACCUCUACCCGGUGGAAACCUUCCCCUGCUACUACCUGAAGCCAGAAGAAAAUAGCACAUGUAUCAAUCAACUGAAGAAAAAUGGCAGACACCCGUCAUUAGUUUUUCAAGCAAUACAGAAAAUGUAGUUUGUCAUAUUUCAAAUAAAAGUAGAUUAUGUACAAGCAAGGGUGGGUGCUUCAGUUUAGGUUUUAGCCACAUGUGCAUCAAAAUAAUUCAGCAAUUAGAUAUAUGUGCUUCAUGUUCAUCUCAGAAAUUGUAAUUUGUUCACAAUGCACACAAAAAUAUGCAGAAUACCAAAAUGCAAAGUGGCAAGCAGUGGGCUGGAAUAAUAUUUAAUUCAAACUGGAAAAAUGGAAGUGCUAAUAAUAAUACAUGUGAGAUGAACACAAAAAUAUGUGCUUCAUGUUCAUCUAAUAAUAAUUCAGCAAUUAGAUAUAUGUGCUUCAUGUUCAUCUCAGAAAUUGUAAUUUGUUCACAAUGCACACAAAAAUAUGCAGAAUACCAAAAUGCAAAGUGGCAAGCAGUGGGCUGGAAUAAUAUUUAAUUCAAACUGGCAAAAUGGAAGUGCUAAUAAUAAUACAUGUGAGCCAAAUAUAUACUCCCUCCGUUCCUAAAUAUAAGUCUUUGGAAAGAUUCCACUAUGGACCACAUACGGAGCAAAAUGAGUGAAUCUACACUCUAAAAUGCAUCUAUAUACAUCCGUAUGUGGUUCAUAGUGGAAUCUCUACAAAGACUUAUAUUUAGGAACGGAGGGAGUAGAUAUAUAUAUACACAUGUCAAACAUUGAAACUUCAAGCAUAUCCUAUAUAUAUAUGGAAUUUCUCCCGAAAGACCAAAACCUUGUACAUUCUUACAGUCAGGGUUGAGUUUGAACUUUCAGAAACAUACCACGUGAACCAGGAGUUCUUUUUUCUUCGACGUGGCAUGGUCGGUCAUCAAUCGUCACAGGAGAAGCCUUCAGAAUAAGAGUUAAUCAGAUAAAAUAAAAAAGCAAGUAUGGAGCUUAUGAAAUUGAUAUGGGCAGUCAUGGAAGUUGAUUCUUUAAGAGAAGAAAAUGAAAUCAGAAGCACAACUAACAAUCCAGGAACAUGUGUGGUCCAAAAUAAGCAGUGUAAACUUAAUUGGAAUCGGAUUACUCCGGCAAUGUAAACGGCAUUACCAAAAUAGGAAACUUGUUUGGCUUCAGCCACGGACUGUAACAUAAUCAAUUCUUAUCUUGUCUCUGGUAUGCUCUGUUGGGUAAGAUGCAACAAAAGAAGAAGAAAAUAGAUCUGGCAUUGAUUUAACCAACCCAAUCAAUAAAAGAAGUCCGAUUGAUCCAGCAUCAAUCUCACAAAUAACAAAAAAUGACCAAGCCAGCAGCACAGAAGAACGGAAUCGAAGCAACCAAAAACCUGCACCCUCGGCUGAUCCACCGCAUCUACAGCAAUGCCAGCUCCAUGGCCUCCUCCCACCACCAUGGCACAACCCAGUUCGUUCAUAGCCAUUCAAGUUCAUGCAGGCGUCCUCACAGUAACGAAUAUCAGCGGUCGACACUGCUCUUUCCAUGUUAGUGCUUCUCAUAUGGAGCGACGAUGUCGCUGCUGCUUGGCGGAAAAGAGGACAGAGGAAGAGAUCCAGGUGUAAGGGAUGCGGUGAGUGGGAUAUGUGACGGAGGGGAAAGGGGAUUGGGGUGCAGGACGAGAGACGAGCGAUGCAGCAUUUUCUGUUUCAGAAUGAGGUGGGUGUAAUCACACGUAAAUAGAGGUGUUAUCCAAUUACAUGGUAUCCGUUUAUAGCCCAACUGAACAAACAUAUGUAACAGACUCAAGUCAUCAAAACUACAAACCAAACAAGAUCUAGGAUUAAGAGAGUGCGAGAACAAGUGGAAGCAACAAUUAAAUGUCAAGUCACAUAGUAGCAUAUGACUAGAAAUAAUUAUCGAACAAAAGAAAACAAGAUACAUUCCUCAAGAACCUUGUAAAUUGAACACCAAAGAGCAUGGAAUAACAUUCUCUACAGAUAGUCAGAUAGCGAACAACUCAUGCAUGUGUUAGGGGAUUGAGAACAGGGUUUGAAAAUCUCCAACUCACACAUUCUCAAACUAAGUUGUAGCAGUACUUUUUUAACUAUGUAUACAUCCAUCAUUCCUGCUAGCAUGUCUAUAUUACGAGUAGGUGAUACAAACUUUAUCCACUAGUCAAUAACUCCAUACAUCCAUCCUUCCCUGGCGGGAAAUCAAAGGCAACACCAAUCUAAUAUACUUCCUGCUGCUCUCCAUUUUCCAUGAUCAUUUGGACCAGAAAUCAAAGGCAGCAACAAUCAAGUACAUAAACACAAUGAACUUGCUUUGUUUUUAGUAGUUUAGGUAAGACGAAGUUUAAAAAAGAGUUUCAAGGCAACAGGCAUGUAGAAGGAAAAAAAGAGAAGUAAAAGACUGCUAUGCUCAUGCUUGUAUGGUUAAACACACAUCUACUGAUCUACAUCAUCCAAAACAAACUCACUACAGGCAUUCCCAUUAACUACACACAGAUUAUGUAACUAGAAUAAAAAUUGGAAAGUGUCCUGCAAUAACAGAGAGCAAGCUGAUGAUUUAGUAGGUAGACUGAAAUUACCGCUAGUGCACUUUGAACUGAGCUGGCAUCCUCAAACUCUAUGAAGCCAUAGCAGAACCCUUGAAUCUGUGUUUUCAAUUGAUAAUACAAGAGAAGAUAUUACAAGUUAUUUUACUGAAAAAGAAAAACUCAUCAUCAUGUUGAGAGAAGAAAAUGCACCUUGUGGCUUCUAACUUGGAUACCAUCAUGUUUAAUAGUACCAAAUCUUUUGAACUCCUCUUCUAAUUGGCUAGGUGUGGCAUGUAAGGGCAGAUUUUUGACAUACACCGCAAGCGCAUCAACUUCAAAAAAUAUUGUCAAGUAUUUCUGUCAGAUGCUAGUGUACUAAGAAGGUUUUCAAUGCAAUAUUGGAUUUAGAUAAUACCUUCUGGGUCUUGAAUGUUGCUGCUCUCAGGAUUAGGACUGAAAGUUGGAGGAUCAACAGCCACAGACAGGGCAGGAGCAGGAGCUUGCUUCUCCGGUUUUGGUGGUGCAGGCCUGUAAGGAACUGCGGAAUUUGGUGGCAGAACUGCUUUCAUGACUUUGACCUGGAGCAAAACAAUAAUGCAAAGGUAAUGAGAAUCUCAAAAGGUGAAUUCAUAAGCGAACGUACAUAUCAUCCGCAACAUCAACAAGCUUCAAACAAUUCCUCAACCAAAGGCACUAGAUAGACAACAGUGAUGUACAUAUAACAUGUAUUUCCAUUCAUAUUCCCCGGCAAAAGAUAAAAGUAAGAAAGCUCACUAAUAUUUAUUGUGCUCUGUAGUAUUUUCAUUCCAGAAUCAGUUAAGCAACAACAAUAACCUUAAAAGUGAGACCAUAGAAGCUUCAUGUAAACAUUUACUCUCCGGAUUUUAAUAAAGCAUUAAAACCCCAUAAAAAUUUAAUUACUGAUUAAACAUCUUCACGCAAGAUUUCAAUAUAUGCAGAACCUGUAAAGGACUGACAGUUAUAUCUUUUCAUUUAUGCUCAGAUUUAGAGACUAAGAAAUAUAGUAAUAUACACAAUUUAAAUGUCAGAAAUAGAUGAUUUAGAUGAAAAAUAACAGUUAUCCAAAACCUACAAUUGAAGCGUACGACUUCUUAGGGGCCUCGUCAUGUGGUACAGGGGGAGCCGAAACCGGUAUGGAGGCUGCUACAUUAUUUGGCACUUCAUCUAUGACCUCAGGAACCGGUGUUUCCUCCACAACAGGCACUUCCACGUCAUUCGGUGGGUUGUAAACCUCCUCCUUGGGAUCCUCAUCCUCGUUGGUAUGAGGAACAGACUCAGAGAGAUCCGGCUCUGGCUGCGGCGAAGCCUCUACAAACAGGACAAUGUGCAAUUUAACAAAGGAUCACGUGGUUCACAAGUAAAUAAAAAUAUAGAUCAAGAUGUUACACACAACGCACCCUGCUCGCGAGGCACACUCUCCACAAGGGCAACAGUACCAUUUGCCAGGGCGGCAGCAGGGGCAACCACUGCAUCCAACUCCGGUGCCGGCGGCUGCUGCUGAGGUGGCGGCAAUGACUGGUCGGCCUCACCCUGCCCGACAUAACGUAGUAUGUCGUUGAGCACGAAGUAACCCUUCUCCUGCGGCGCAAGGAAGAAGGACUGCGCGAACUCGCGGCAGACGUCGUCCUUCCCUGUGAGGUGGCCCGUGACGAGCACGGUCACACCGCCACAUAGCGACUCCUGCGCGUCCACCCCCCUGAUCUCCGCCCGCGCGAUGUCCAUGGACAUGAUCUUCUCGUUAAUCGCCUGCAAGAAGAAACCAUUCAGAACCGCUGAGAAAGUCUACCAACAUUCUAAGGCCCCCAGAUGCCCAGAUCUGAACCGAGGGAACAACGGACGGGGAGUGAGCGGUACCUCCAUGGUGGUGACGGUGUCCAUGUCGGCGCCGGUGGUGGCGGGGCGGCCGAUGCGGCUGGCCUCCUGGUAGAAGCGGAAGACGAGCUCCGGGGACUGGUGGAGGAUGUUGUAGUACUGCUGCACGAAGGCGUUGCCCACC
rnacentral:lncRNA from 1 species